rnacentral:lncRNA from 1 species
AAAUCAAAAAGAGACUUCAAUUUUCCUAUUUCACUUGGAAUUGAGCCAGAAAGUGAAUUGCCAUAAAGAUACAAGGUAGCCAAGUUGGUCAAAUUACCCAAAGAAUGAGGGAUUGAGCCACAAAGUUUAUUGUCGCUCAGUUCUAGAUCAGAAAGAGACUUCAAGCGUCCUAUUUCACUCGGAAUUGAGUCAGAAAGUGAAUUGUUAUGAAGAUACAAGGAAGCCAAGCUAGUCAAGUUACCCAGAGAGUGAGGGAUUGAGCCACUAAGUUUAUUGUAGCUCAAUCGUAGAUCGGAAAGAGACUUCAAUUUUCCUAUUUCACUUGGAAUUGAGCCAGAAAAUGAAUUGCCAUAAAGAUACAAGAUAACCAAGUUGGUCAUGUUACCUAGAGAGUGAGGGAUUGAACCACCGAGUUUAUUGUUGCUUAGAUCUAGAUCAGAAAGAGACUUCAAGCUUCUUAUUUCACUUGGAAUUGAGCUAGAAAGUGAAUUGUUAUAAAGAUACAAGGUAACCAAGUUGGUCAAGUUACUCAGAGAAUGCGGGAUUGAAUCUUCCAAAAAGUUUUUGUACAAAGCAAGGACGUUUAGAGAACUUAAUCGGCCUAAUUCAUGAGGAAUUGAGCCACUUAGCUGAUUCUCGAAUAGGCAAAGGACCUUCAGAUUACUUAGGUGGCCAAGUUGUACUGGUAUUGUCCCAGAAAACGAAUUGGAUGAUAAAUCAAGGUACUUGAGUUUUGAAAUGUUACCAAUUUGAGGCGGGAUGUUUCCAAAGAGUUGAUUGCUCCAAAGAGUGAGAUACUCAAGAUGGGGAAAUGAUGAGAAUGAGAAAUCAUGAAGCGUACCUUUUAAGCCUGUACUUGUGAGGUUAACACUAUUGACUGUUCCCGCAUGGUUGCAAUGAAUUCCAACCCAAGCACACGAGCUUAUUUUGGUGACAUUAUCAAGAGUCCAUGAAGGCAGGAGAGAUCCAUUUUUAUGAUUUUGAAGGCUAGCUUUCCAUUUGAGAAGAGCAUGGGCUUCUUCUGUAGAAUCAAAAGAAGCGGUGAGUGGAAAAUCUAGAACAGGGAAUAGGAUGAGGGAAAUGAGUGAGAAAAUUACUAAAUCAUUUUUCAAGUUUGGUAACGCCAUUGCAUAGUGAGAGAUCAACUGAGACUCGAUAAUUAUAUAUAGAAAGAGUAGAGAACAAUUAAAGAUGAGAACAACAAGAAUUAAAGAUUUGCUAGACACGGCAGAUAGAAAUAAACAUCUAGGACUAAUGGAUGUACAAAUAAACACACUGAAAGACAAUUUUAUAUUAACUAUACAAGAAAGCAAAUGAGUUAAUUGAAUCAAUGACGUGAGCCAACAAGUCAACGCGUCGAACACCUCUAAAGUAGACUAGUUGCAGGUAGGAUAAAAUAAAAAAUAUUGGUUUCAUUAGUUACCCAUAUGUCGAUUGAGGCCUGUAUUGUAUAUAUGCUUCUUUUAGCUUCAACGAAAAUCUAUUAGAAUGUGAACUAUUACAGUGUUACCAAAAAAAAAAAAAAAAAAAUUUAUGUGUUUUGAAAAUUUAAAUCAUGUCAAUAUCAAAUUUAAAUCUUAAAGGCCAAAAACACAAUCUUCGAUAUAAAAUUUUAUGAUUUUAAUUUAAUUCCAGUUCUAAGUUGAGGUCAGCGCAAAGAAUAGUUUCAGAACUUAACCCAAAUUCUUCUAUUUUUCAAUAAUUGUAAUAUUACCUGUAAUCGUGUUGCAGAAACAUAUUUAUUUCUAUCUCUCUAAUUUUAAAAAUAAAAAUAAAAUUCUUCUGGAUGAGCGUUAGCUGGAAUGGGAACUUCAUAUGUUCGGGGGUCAACAAAGGUGUGUAAAAUAUUUCUGAUUUUCUGUUCCGAAUUCUCCCAUUUGAUUGGAUUUGUUCAAAGGUUUAAUUAAAAAUUUUCUUGGGCGUAACGCAAAGCCAACAAUCAAGUGUUUUUUUUUUUUUUGGUUUGCAAUGGGGUGACCGUUAGCGGUAGUGUUUGUAUAAUAUGUAUGUGUUGCAAUCUAUAUCACAUACGCAUUCAAGGUUCAAGUACUUUUCAAAAAAAUUUAUUUAUUAUUUCUAUUUAAUAUUAUAUCAGUUUAUAAAUAAUAAAAAAUAGGUUACAAUCAAUAAAAUAUAAGAAUAAGAUUUUUCCUUAAUUUUAGUAAAUAAUUUUUAAUUUUAAUUUUAAUUUUAAUUUAUCUAAUUUAUAAGAAAUAAAUAUGAAUAAAUUAGAAGUGUAUUUGAAAAUAAGGAUAUUGUUAUAAAAUUAUUAUAUCAUGGGAGUUAUGGACCAUUAUGAAAAUAAUAAUUAAUUAAUUUUGUGAAAUGUUUCUCCAUUAUAUAUUUCUCUAGAAGAGCUGAAAAACUUAUCCGAAUACAUAUAAUUAAUUUUGUAAUCAAAAUUAAUGGGCAACUUGACUUCUCUUUCUCGGAUCCUAAGCCCUGAUUAACUUGUUUACUGGGCGCUCUUUUGGAUCCUGACCGACUAACUUGUUUACUGGGCAUUUGUCUCGAGAAAGAUUGUCAGUUAGUGAAUAGAAAAGUCUAUCCAAUUCUAAUUAAAGCAACACACAGUCACACACUGCCUUCCAAUACCUUUUUGUAGUAUAAAGUCACAAAUAUCGCAUAAAUGUUAUUGUAUAGGCCCUUAUUUGAUAAACAAAUAUGAUUAUUAUUGUCAUAUUAUGCACUUUGAUGACACAACUGCUUUAAUAUCUAUUUUAUAAAUGGCAAACAUUUAGCACAUUUUGGAUCUAAAUUGAGGUAGCUUCACUCAUCAAAUUUUAUGUAAAUAUUAGCUAUAGGUUUCCAUAAGGUUUGAAUUUGAAAUUCACAAGAAAGCAAAUAAGUGGUCGUCAAGCUUGCAUGAGCUCAACUAGUCAAUGCGUCAACACCUCUACAUUACAUCACAUAUUUUAAGAUAUCCAUUUUCCAGCACUGGAUCAAAAUUUCCCAGUCAAGCAACUUGCAAAAGAGGAUUGACUGAGAAAAUUGGGAGUGUGCUGAUUGAUGGAACCAACAAAAUUUCAAUCUCUAUUCCUUCCAAACGCACUAACAAAUUUUCAAUCUCAACCGGUCUAUACCUACCAUACGCACUAGCAAAUUUGCAAGGUCAAUGCUUAUUGGAGAACAACAAUGUGAUGGUUCAUCACAAUUUUUCCCAAGCCACCUCUAUUCCUGCAAGUGGUAGGCCCAGUAGUUAUACUUUUCUGGGCGCUGGACAUGUCCAGAGCAUGCUCGUUAUUGCUCGUCUCCCCCAAAACAAAUUAUAUCUAAUCUCUCUUUUUUACGAGCAGGGAGAAAAUUCCAUUUAGUGUGAGCUCCUUACUAACAACUUUCAAAUGUAUGUUUCUUUUAGAGAUGUAAAUAUGAACGUUAAGAUGAUUAGUUGAUUAUUGAAUAGGUUAUUUGCCAUAUACGUUGGUUGCAUAAUGGUGGGUUUGUGGAUAACAAAUGUGUAGAGCAUCUAGGAUAUGAAAUGAAGGUAUUAUAAGGUGUUUUUUCGUCAGCGUGAGACUGUUGUUUUUAAUUCGUUUUCUUAAUUGGUAUUUUCUUCGGUUAUGGGUUUCAAUUCUAUUUGGUGACUUACAGCAGUCAUCUCAUGUGUUUGGUGACCUCCUUAUAUUUGAUCAGCCCUCCACUUUUCGGUUAACUCGAUUUAUUUUUAGAUCUAUCCUGACUAAAAAAUAGUUAAAAAUAAAUAAUAUUUAUAUUUUGUUUCUCUCUCACAUCCCUUUCACUUUCUUGAACUGAUUCACAGUAUGAAUCAAAUAUUAUCUCCUAAUCCAAACCCGAAUCGAAAACUUGAAAGUCCUGAAUUAUUAUCACCAAAAAUCAAAAUCAAUCCCAAGCAUCUAUCGCAACAAAAUACACUACUUACAAAAUUUUACAAAACCCUGUAACAGAACCCCUCGUGCUGCAGAGGAGAUGGAUUGGUAGUGAUGACGAUAUGUGCUGGUGAUGGUGCUGGUGAUGAUUGACUUGAUGGUGAAGAUGACGAUUGACUUGAUGGUUAUGGUAAUGCUGACGCUCCAUAGAGGAAAAAAAAUUAAAAUAAAAAACUAAUAUAUCAGAGAACUCUAAACGUGUAAUAAAAAAAUUUGAAAAUGUUGUAACAUAUAUUUGCCAAUAUCAUGUACUUAAAAUUCUGUUAAAGAGAAGUUUUUCAUCUUCUUAUGGAGCCCACCAUCAUCGAGGUGACAGAAGAUUGAUGGGGUACCUCUAGUUUUUAAGUGGACUCGGAAGAGAAAUUGAUCACCGACAUCACUGUUUGAUAAUUGUAAUUUUCUGUACUUAAAAUUCUGUUAAAGAGAAGUUUUUUAAUUAAUUCUUAAUUAUCACUGUUUGAUAAUUGUAAUUUUCUGUUUCUGGAGUUAAGGGUGUUAGUAUGUUAGAGAGUAGAGACUACGGUGCUUUGAAUCCGUUGGCACCGACCUUUUUGUAAAAUUUCUCAAGAUUUUCAUUACACAUCUCAAGUGUUUCGUUUCAUUUUCGCUACUUUUGUAACAAAUUUUUUAUUUGAAGAGAACCAUAGCUUAAGAUGAUUCAUAUAGAAAAUUUAUUAGCUGUGAAUAAUUUUUGCAUUUUGGAAAAUACGGAUUUGAACUGGCCCAUGGUAAAUAACUACAAAAUAUACUAGUCAAUUACCGGGAUGCCUAUAAUUUAGUAUUAAAAUAUCGUUAGUUAAUAUGUUAACGGAAAUCCAUAUUUUAAAAAAUAUUGACGUUUGCACAUAUAAUUUUGAGAAAAUAAUCAAAGCUCCUCUGUUAUUUAAAAACUCACCAAAAAUCCAUAAUUUGCUGGGCAUUUUUUCCCCAAAAGAUUUUGUCUGUUAGUGAAUAGAAAAGUCUAUCCAAUUCCAAUUAAAGCAGCACACACUGCCUUUCAAUAUCUUUUUGUCGUAAUGAUAAUAGUACAGUUACAAAAAUCAUAUAAAUAUUGGAGAAAAGGACAUUUACACCCCUAAGGUUUGGAAAAAUGAUCAUAAAAACCACUGAAUUUUCAAUAAGUGACACUAAAACUCCAUUUUGACCAUAAUGUCUUUUAAUUCUAUAAAUUCCAAAAAAAAUUGACUCCAAAAUUUUAUAGUAUAUAGAAAUAUGCACCAAAAUAAAUGUAAUAAUAUAUAGAUUUUAAAAUAAUUAUAUUAUUUAAAAAAUAGUUUUAUAUUUUACAAUAUGCUAGACCUAUUUUAUUAUAUUAAACUAAUUUUUAGAAAUAAAUAGAAACAUAAUUUUAAUAUAAAUAAAUUAAUAUUAAAAUUAUUUUGAAUAUUAUAUAAAAAUAAUUUUAAUAUUAUUAAUAGGGAGAUAUUUUGUCAAUUGUAAAAUCCAUUUAACCCAAAGAUUUAUUUAAAAUCUUUAUAAUAAAUACAAAUGUAUUAUUAAAAUAAAUAUAAUAAUUUAAAAUUUUAAAAAUUAUUAAAUGUUAAAAAUAAUUUAAUAUCAUUAGUCUACUAGAUAGAUUAUAUUAUUUAUAUAAAUUCGUAUUAAUUAAAAAACUUUCAGUCAAUUUCUAAUUACUANNNNNNNNNNNNNNNNNNNNNNNNNNNNNNNNNNNNNNNNNNNNNNNNNNNNNNNNNNNNNNNNNNNNNNNNNNNNNNNNNNNNNNNNNNNNNNNNNNNNGAUUGUGGAUCUAAAUUGAGAUAGCUUCACUCAUAAAAUUUUAUGUAAAUAUUAGCUAUAGGUUUCCAUAGGGUUUGGUUUGAACUCCUUCACACGGCUGAAGAGGAUAUACACUAUAUAUAUAUACAUAAAUUUUUUAGUGCCUCUUCUUUUGAGCAUUUUUCCCUCUACCGCUUUUAUCCGUGCAUAUUUUAAGGAAUAAGCGCAUCACUUUUUUUUUUUUCUUUUUCCUCUUCAAUUAAUAAACUUCACUCCCUUUUCAAAAUAAUAAUAAUAGUGAUGGUGAUGAUAAUGAUGAUGAUGAACUUCACUCUUUCCUCUUAUGUCCCCCCCCCCCCCCCCCCAAAAAAAAAAGAAGAAAGAAAGAAAGAUAAAAGCAAUUUGCUUAUAGAUACAUAAUAAUGAUUUAAUUAAUUAAUUGUUCAAACCUCCUGUUGAUUUCAAUUUUUUUAGAAUAAUGUGAACUUGUUGUAAUUAUUUUUUGAAACCGGGGUUGGUUUACAAAAUUAAUGGGGUGAAAAUAUAUUUGUUCUUUAUGAUUUUGCCUUACAACUUUUCCAGUUUUACAUAUAACGCCUGUACGUCUUCAUACUCAUUUUAGACUUUGGGUUCUAAAAGUUACUUCUAUGAAUUUUGGCCCUAUUAUAUUUUUCUUGAUCUUCCAAGCUCCUCCCUUGUUUCAAGUAGGGUAAAUGGUAACAAAAUUCCUGUUAGGAACUUGAUUAUUUUAGGAUUCAAGAUAUUAAUUCAUGUUGUGUUCAGAGUGAUUGUGAAAUUCACAUUGAAAUCAUUAUUUCUAAGCUUUCAAACUACAAUAAUGGUAAGUAAAACUUCUUUAUAGUCAUAUUGUUGGGACCAAUUUUUUUUUUUUUUUUCUAUGAGGAAGUAAUGACUUAAUAGAGGUAUAGUUACAUAAAUUAAUGUUUUGACUUAAUCAUCCUUAGUACAAAUAAUAUAGAGGUAAAGUAUGCACUACAUUAAUAAUUAAUUAAAGGAACAUGUCAAAUCCAAUGUAUAUACAUUAAUAAAAAAGAUAAAUAUAUAUAUUUUUUUAAAAUAGUACAUAUAUCUAAAUAGUGUUAUGCAAAGUCAUUUUAAAGUCUAAAUGUUUUUGCAUUCUCUUAAAUAUUUUUCUCUUAGUAUAAAUUCCAUAAAUACUAUGCAUUAUAUAAAUCAUUGUCCUAUACAACUUUCAAAAAUAAUAUUUUAUUCCAUCUUAAACCUUUAAUAUAAUUUUACAUAAAAUUUUUCGAAUAUACAAAUAAAUAUUACUAUGUGGAGGCUAGUUUCUUAAGAUAGGAUCACAACGGUAGAUAAGUUAGCAGGAGUAAAAGAAAAUAUUAAAAAAAUGUGUCAGUUUUUUUUUUUUAAGUAUUUCAUUAAAACAAAAACAUUACAAACUGUUUAAUAAGCACAGAGGUGGAACAUGACUCCACUCUCCGGGACCUGACAUAGAACCUCCUGCCCUAACAACAGAAUGGAAAGAAGAGUUCGCAGAUCGACACACAAACAAGAAUUGCACUUCUCAUAUAGACAUCGCAAGAGAUUAACACUCCUCAAUUGUAAGGCCAAAACCAUUGGGGCUGGAAAAAUUCUCAGUUAAAGCUUGAAAGACUUGAAGGUUGUCCAUUUCGAUAAUAGCACAAGGCAAUUGCAGCCUCUUGAUCCUACUGAGAGCCUCUCUAAUGCCAAGAGCUUCAGGCUCUCGUGAGCCAAAAAUACCUAGAAAACACUCACACCUUGCUGCCACAAAUUCACCAACAGAGUUAUGAAUUACACACCCAACACUGAACUUGAGCAUUAAAUAUGGCAGCAUCAACAUUUCACUUUAACCAACCAAAGCAAGGUUUUUCCCAACAAAUAGCCCCAUGACCAACUCUAUUAGUAUCAGCAUUAAUAAAGAAAUGAUGUUUCCUUAUAGUUUGCCACUGGAAUAAAAUCUGCCCAGCAGAGUUGAGGACUUGUAAAGCACUGCCAGUUCUGUGGUUCCAUAAAUGAUCAGUACGAUGAAUCCAAAUCCUCCAGCAAAUCAUGGCGGCAAGCUGACAAUUCUCCUUACUAUACCGAGAGAAAAUAGCCUCCAGCCAAGCCAAAAAAGAAAUGCAGUAACCAAAGAAACCAACAGCAGAGGAAAUCCAACAAGACGUAGCAAAGCUACACUCCAGUAGAGCAUGUGUAAUAGUCUUAUCAUAGGCAUUGCACAAAGAGCAAGUAGGUAUAAUAGUCACUCUACGACGAAUAAGGUUAUCCGCAGUAGGUAAUACAUUUGUCGCAGCCAGUCAAAGAAAAUUCCUAACCUUACUCGGCACCUCCAAAUUCCACAAUGUUCUCCAAAUACUAGUAGAAGAAUCACUAGCACUAUGGGUUAACAGUUUAUAGCAGCUCGUAUCGAAUAAACUCCACAAGGAUCAUGCAGCCAAUACCACAUAUCAGACUCUCUACGGUAGCUAAGAGGAAUUUGCAAGAUCAACUCUUUAUCUCUUGAAUUAAAAAGGUUAGAAAUAAUAUCUAAAUCCCAUCGUCUUUGGUUUGGCACCAUCAAGCUACUCACUUUUGCAACAACCAGCUCCUCAUUUAGGUUAGAUGAGAUAAAGCCAUUAUUGAUAUCUGGUAGCCAAGGAUCUUGGCCUAUUAAAACAUUCUACCCGCUUUUAAUUUGAAUUUGGCUUCCACAGACAACAACAUCCUUUGCAGAUAAAAUAGAUCGCCAUACAAAACUCGGAUUGUGCCCUAAUUUGGCUUCAUUAAUAGAAGUUCUCGAAUAAUAGCGAGCCUUUAAAACUUUAUCAACAAAAGAUUCUAGUUUUGUAAGAAGUUUCCAGACCUGUUUGCCAAGCAUAGCGACAUUGAAAGUAUGCAAUUGCUUGAAGCUAAUUCCCCCAAAAACCUUCGGUUUACAUAAGUGCUCCCACUUUAUCCAAUGAAUUCCCCUACCACCAUCGCUUUUGCUGCCCACUAAAAGGAAUUCAUCAUAACUUCCAGCUCCUUGCAUAAGUCAAGAGGUAAGAGAUAGACAUUCAUGGCGUAAUUAGGCAUUACCUAGGCCACCGUUUUCAGCAAGAUUUCCUUCCCAGCUCGAGAUAACAUUUUGGAAUGCCAUCCUUGCAGCCUUUGUUGAACUUUGUCCCGAAUAUAAUUAAAGACAACUUUUUUCUUUCGACUAAUAUAAGAUGAAAGUCCGAGAUAAGCUCCAUGAUCUUCUGUAGCAUUGACAUCCAGGGUUCCAUAAAUCUGACUAACAAUACUAGCAUGCACAUUAGCACUAAAUGAAAUGGAUAAUUUAGUAAAAUUUACCAACUGACCAGAAGCACAUCCAUAGGUAGCUAAAAUCUGCUUAAUGAUAGAACCUUCAACUGGAUUUGCUCUAAAAAACAGGAAGCUAUCAUCGGUGAAAAACAAAUGAGACACCACUGGAGCCCUUCAAACAGCUCUCACCCCAUGAAGCAAACCAAGCCUCUCAUAUCUCUUGAUCAAAGAACUGAGUCCCUCUGCGCAUAAAAUGAAAUGAUACAAAGACAGUGGAUCGCCUUGGCGUAGACCCCUGCUUGGCAUAAUUGGACCUACCUCCCUACCCUCACAAUGCACACUGUAACUAACUGUUGUCACACAAUGCAUGAUUAAGUUCACCCAUUUAGCAUCAAAACACAGUUUAAGCAUCAUAUCCUGAAGAAAACCCCACUCGAUCCUAUCAUAUGCUUUAGACAUAUCGAUCUUUAGAACAACGAUACCAUGUUUUCCUUGCCUCUUCCUCUUCGAAAAGUGCAUAAUUUCUGCUGAGAAAAUUAUAUUAUCGGUAAUUGCAUGACCGGGAAUAAAUGCACUCUGAGAGUCUGAAACAACCGAGUCAAGAACUAAUUUCAUGGGAUUAGCUAGCAUCUUGGAGACUAUUUUAUAAAGCAUAUUACAAAGUGCAAUCAGCCUCAUCAACCACAGCAGGAAAUACUAUUUGAGCAGUAGCGGAUCAAGGUAUGCAACGACCAGAAGUGUCAUGAUAAAGGGUCAUGGUCUCGGAUCUGACAACACCUGAGGCCGCUGUUUCUUCGGAAUAAGGACAAUAGAUGUGUCGUUUAAUCAUACAGGGAAAGAACAAUUAUGAAUAAAAGAUAGGUAAGCCGACACCGCAUCCUCACUACAAUGUGCCAGAAUUUUUCGUAGAAUGUAGGAUUCAUAACAUCUGGACUUGGGGAUUUAUCAGGAUGCAUUUCAAAAAGAGCCUCCUUAACUUCAAUAGCAGAAAACUGAGCCAAAAGUAAAGAAUUCUGCUCACUUGUAACCCUUGUCUCCACACACCGUAAAAUAUCAGCAGUAUGACAACCAUCAGACUUAAAUAAAUUACUAAAAUACUCCACAAUCUCAGCAUCAAUAUUAUUUGAAUUUGAAACCCACUGACCUUGACUGUUGCGAAGAGCCCCAAAAGAAUUUCUCCGUUUUCGUGCUGAGGCCGAAGCAUGAAAAUAACGAGUAUUUCGAUCCCCUUCUUUCAGCCAAAGAGACUUCGAUAUCUGCUUCUAAAAAACCUCAUUGCUAUGGAGGAGCUCAUUAAAUCUGUUUCUUGCCUCAGUAAAAGCAACCACGCCAUCCACGUCACGACGCCCUCUCAAGGAAGCCAUUUAUUGCUUACACUCUAAUUUUCAUUUCCGAAAGUCCUGAGCUAAAUGCCCACCCCAUACCAGCAAAGCAUUACCACAAACCUUAAUCUUUUGCUGAAUAUAAAUAUUUGUAGAGGAAGCCCAGCUAGAUCGAAUAACAUCAACACGCCCAACGUCACGCAGCCAUAAGUUCUUAGAGCGGAAUCGGCUAUGUCUGUAUACAUGUAAAUUCGGAUUGGGAUCCAAUAAAAUUGGCAGGUGGUUGGAGCAAGAAGAUUUCAAACUACAAACUUUCGCUCUAAAAAACUGUCGAAGCCAGGCAUCAGUAGCAAACGCUCAAUCAAGUCUUUCCUCAACCCAAUUAUCUGUGUCCCGAGAUCUCUCCCAAGUGAACUUGUUACCCUCCAUGCCCGGAUCGAUCAAACCACAGUCUAUAAUUGCACUGUUGAAACCUAUCAGCUUCCAGUUUGGGUGUUUAUGUCUGCCUCGCUUUUCAUUAGCCACCAACAAAUCAUUAAAGUCGCCAAUACAAACCCACGGCAAAUAGAAAGAGGUAGACAACAAACGAAGUAAAUCCCAGGAUGCCCGACGGUGGCUAGAUUUAGGGUAACCAUAAAAGCCCGUGAUUCUCCACCUUCGUUGGUCAGCCAAUUCAACUUCUGUAUCAAUAUAAUUCGUUACAUAACUAAGCAAAUUAACAACACAAGAUGCGUUCCAUAAGAGUGCAAUCCCACCACUGCGGCCCACUCUAUCCACAACAAAAAGCCCAUCAAAACCCAACUUCACUUUAAUGCUUUCUAAUUUAUUUUUACUGCAUAAUGUUUCAAUUAAAAAAAUAAAACAAGGCUUCUUACUACAGACCAAGUCCACCAACACCUGAACUAUCCAUGAGUGGCCCAACCCACAGCAGUUUCAAUUCAAAAUACUCAUUGGGUUCGGUGGGCCUGGAGUACAGGUCCCACCGCUGGUUCAUUUUUUGCCACUUCAAAUGUGUCAUUUGUUGUUGAAAACUCCUGACCUAGGCCCAUAGUAAUGUGAAGCCCAUUUAGAGAUCUUCUUCGUUUUAAAUAGUUGACAAUAGGGCCAUUCUCAAAAUCCUUAUCACUUUCCAUAUCACCAUCUACAACAACAGCUGUCCCACUCGAUGACUUCUCUAUUAGUUGAUUCCCAAUUGGUAAUUGUUUAUCAACUACCUUAUUGGGAGCCAUGUUUCCCAUGUUUUUGCCACCAAUAAAGGGCUUAGGUAAAAUAACUCCGGAUAUUGUGGCAUUAACCGAAUCAACUAACAUGGCAACAGCUUGAUUCAUGCUCCUUCCUUUAACUGCCUCAACCGUUUCCGGUGGUCCCUGGCGCAGCCACCGUUUGUCGAAAUUCAUCACAGUUCUUCUAUUUGGUGCCUUCAACCAAUGUCCACAAACUGGCACAAUUUCUCCUUUUGGGCACUUAUACAAUUUGGGGCAUUGUUUUUCAGUAUGCCCAAGCAAGCCACAGAUGAAGCAAAAAAAAUUAAGCCUCUCAUACUUAAAAUCAAUCCAAAUCCAAUCGCGUCCUACUUUCUUCAAUUUCAUCCUGUGCUUAAGAGGUUUUCUUACAUCUAUGGAUACACGAAUGCACAUAUAAUUGCGCCAGACUCCCAUCAAAUUAUUUUCAUCCGAAUCCAAGAAAGUACCAAUGUAAUUCCCAAUGUCUUUCAAGAUUUUCUCUGACAUAAAUCCAAUUGGUAAAUUAUAGAUCUGUAUCCAGAGGGAAGUAAAAAACAAUGGAACAUUUUGUGGUUACUUAUCUUCCUCCAGCUGCUUUACAAUCAAGAUAUGUUGAUCAAAAGUUCAUGGUCCCGAUUCCAACACCCUAUUAAUAUCAAUCUCAUGGAAGAAUUGAAAGAGGAACAAUGUUGGUGAUAAGUCUUUGAUGCACACUCCUUUGCCGGGACGCCACAACGACGCCAUUGUGUUUUUUAUGGCAGCAAAAUUUAUCACUUUGUCUGUAAAAAAUCUGCCAACCAAGCAAAAAAGGAGAUCAAAUUUCCCCUAACCACCGUCAUCCCCCUCAUCCCCCGUGACUAUCAAACCUCCUUCCUCCUCCUCGUCGAUGGACAUGCUAGCAUAAUCACUAUUGAUAGCGGUUUCCAGUGAUUCAACGUUGGUGGCCAUUGCAUGAAAUCAAAGAAUGCAAACAAUAUUUGGGAUAGAACAAAUAUUUUGAGAAUUAUAAAUUAACUUGUCCUAAAGACAAGACAAAACACAACUUGUCCCAAAGACAAGACAAAAUCGUUUGUGGAGAAAGUUUAUAUAAAAAAAAUGUAAGUUAAUUAAUGAACUAGACUUUGCAAAUUUUUAUGCGUUACUGAUUAACUAAUUCUUUUCAUCGAUUAUAGACUCUAGAUUCUCAUUUAAGCAUGCAAAGGACACCUGCAGGAUUGACAUCAGUUUAUUCGGAACAUUUCACUAAUUAUUGGAACAUUUCACUAAUUAAGUUAUUUCAUAUAAUUGGAAGAUGAAGAUGAAAUUUCUAAAAGAAAAUCUCCUGGAUACUUAAUUCCCUUUGAUCACGUCCAAUUCUAACACACUAAAAGUGUGCGCAUCGCGUUUUUCAGCGACUUCUAUAGUGUAGGAGCGCCAGUUCUGCAAAUUGAAAGAUUAAUACGCAAAUAUAGGUCUUUUUUUAGGAUUGAGGUGCUAUAACUUUUAAGCUAUAGCUGCUAUGUGUUAAGGAAGCACACAUCAGUAGCAUAGACUGUAAAGCAGAGGAUAGCAGCAGCUCCAGCUUACAGUUAAGAGUUGAUGACAUGGCAUGCCAGCUGGCACCUGGUGGUUAUGUAAUCACUUGUUCACGUGAUAAUUAGUUGAAGUUGUUAUAGCUAGCUAGAAUUAGUUUUGUAAUGAGUUAACUAAUUGAGCUGAGCAUCAGUUGUGUAUAUAAGCAUCUCUGUGUACAGUUUCAUAAGUAAGUUUUAGAUGAAUAAAAUCGUAUGAGCUAAAAGCUUUCAGUUCUUAAAUUUUCUCAGCUUCCAAACAUCCUUUUUCUGAUUUCUUACUUCAGCUUCCAAACAUCCUUUUUCAUCUCAAGUGCUUGCUUCAAUUCGAGGAAAUAGACUUGAGAAAUUUAUCGAUGAGUCAAUCACUCCACCUCCUUCUCAUAUUGCUCAGAGAUAUGAUGAUGAGCUUAGAUCUGUGGAGAAUCCAGAAUUUGCAACCUGGAGAGCACAAGAUCAAAUACUUCUCGGUUGGCUUCUUUCAUCAAUGAGUGAAGGUAUCAUCAGUUUGGUGUUCAAUCUUGAGACUUCAUUGGAGGUAUGGAAAGCUGUUGAAACUCAAUUUGGAUCUCAAUCAAAGUCUAGGUUAUUACAUUUGAGAUAUUUGAUGAAUUCCACUAGAAAGGAUGAUCUUAAAAUGACUGAAUACUUCAUUAAAAUGAAAUCUAUUGCUGAUAACAUGGCUGCAGCAGGAAGUGCAUUAAGCAAUGAUGAUUUGAUUUUACAUGUACUCUCUGGUCUAGGUCCUGAUUAUAAUUCUGUUGCUACUUACAUCACUGGACAAGUAGGAACUGGAAAAAUGAAUGUUAAUGAGGCUUAUGCUAUGCUGUUAACUCAAGAGGCUAGGAUUGAUCAACAAACUCAUAUGCUUGCUAAUAUGGAUGUUAAACACAAUUUAGAAGCUAACUUUGCACAAAAUAGAGGACCUAAGAGAGGAAACUUCUCAGGAGGAAAAGGUUUUGGUAGUCUUGGAUAUAAUACAGGCUACAGUAAUGCUGGAAAUUCUGGAAAUAGUGGUUACAGAGGAAAUUAUGGAUCAUCUGGUUUUGCUGUUGGAAGUGCUGGAAAUAAUGGUUACAGAGGAAACUAUGGAGGAGGAGGAGGAGGAAACUGGAAUAAUAAUAAUGCUGUCAAUAAUGGCAAAACACCUGGAAAUCCUAAAUCUCAGUGGAAUCCUUCUAAGCCUACAUGUCAAGUUUGUCUCAAAAUAGGUCACACAGCUAAUGUAUGCUGGAAGCUGGAAGAAUUUAUUGCUUCAGGAGCUUAUAGACCACCUCCAAACAGGAAUCCGAAAUCUGCAUAUCUGGCAAACAUGGAAGGAUCAUCUGAUACAAAUUGGUACCUUGACAGUGGUGCCACUCACCAUCUCACAAAUGACAUGAACAAUAUGCAGAUUUCUGAAUCAUUUACAGGUACAUCUAAACUCAUUAUUGGUAAUGGUACUGGCUUGAAUAUUACAAAUAUUGGAAAAGCUGUUCUGAGAUUGCACAAUUGCACUGAUUCCACUGUGAUUAAACUAAACAAUAUACUUUUAGUUCCACAAAUAACCAAGAACCUUAUAAGCAUUUCUCAGCUAACCAAAGACAACAAUAUCACAGUUGAGUUUACUGACAAAUCUUGUUUUGUGAAGGACAAGGUGAAGAAUUUGAUCAUACUGCAGGGCAAGGCUGAAAAAGGCUUGUACAGAUUGCUAUUAGUGUCCUCAAAUAAAACUUCUGCUCAGUCUUCCUUUCAAGGUCAUGUUGCCAAUAUUGAGUCUUCUUUUCAGUCAUUUGUUCCUUUGUCAAUGCUAUCAACUGUCAAUCUCAGUCAGUCAAAUAAUCACUGCUUGCAAAAUGUGGCAGCAGAACCUUGUAUGAACUCUAAGUGUCUUUUAAGCACUUCUGUAUUACAUCAGAGGCUAGGUCAUCCUAACUCUAAGAUCUUAAACCAUGUAAUACAAUCUUGUUCCUCUUUCAAACCUAUCAAUGGAAAUAAAGAGUUUGAUUCAUGUGAUGCUUGUAAAUUUGGGAAAAUGCAUAGAUUACACUUUCCAACAACUGAAACAAAAACAAAACAACCUUUAGCCAUUUUACAUACUGAUUUAUGGGGACCAGCUCCAGUGGUUUCCACACAAGGUUAUAAAUAUUAUGUGAGCUUUGUGGAUGAUUUUACCAGAUUCACUUGGAUAUUUCCCCUGAAAACCAAAGAUGAAACUCUUCAUGUGUUCAAAAUUUUCAAAGCUCAAGUUGAAAAACAAUUAGAACAGCCCAUUAAAUGUCUUCAAUCUGACUGGGGAGGGGAAUUCAGAUCCUUUAGCAAAUAUCUUCAAGAAGAAGGGAUAGAAUUUAGACACUCUUAUCCUUAUACACAUAACCAAAAUGGUUUGGUAGAAAGGAAACACAGACACAUCACUGAAUCAGGUCUUACUCUUCUUGCACAAGCUAAAUUACCUAUCAAAUUCUGGUGGGAUUCCUUUCAUACAGCAGCCUAUCUCAUUAACAGAUUACCAACACCUAUUCUAGCAAUGAAAACUCCAUAUGAAUCAAUCUUUCAUCAUCAACCAGACUAUAACUUUCUAAGAACAUUUGGAUGUUCUUGUUUUCCUUUUCUCAGAGAAUACAAUAACCAUAAAUUUCAUUUCCAUACUUCAAAGUGUGUCUUCUUAGGAUAUAGUCCUUCACAUAAGGGCUAUAAGUGUCUACAUUCAUCAGGCAAAAUUUAUAUUGCCAGUCAUGUAUUGUUUGAUGAAACCACUUUCCCUUACAUUUCAGAUCCAAAUUUUUCUUCCUCUUCUAAACACACUUCCUCUGAUUUUCAAUAUAAUCUUUUUCAAAGGUUUACUCUGUCAGUUCCUAAUAGCAAUCUGAACAGUCUUGAAGCUACUGCAGCAGAUCAAUUCCCUGUCAAUCAUUCUUUAUCAUCAAAUUCACCUCAAUUUCAGUCACCCACAAAUCAGACCUCUACAUCUUUGCCUUCACCUGCACCCCAGUCACCAGCACCACAAAUACCCUGCACAACACAAACAUCUCAGCCUAAACCUUCUACUUCUACCCAUCAUAUGAUAACCAGAGCUAGAGCUGGUAUUUUCAAACCAAAAACCUUUCUAACAACUCACAACAGCUUAGAACCAUCCACUGUCCCUGAGGCAUUAUCAGAUCCUAAAUGGAAAGAUGCAAUGCAAACUGAGUAUGAUGCUCUUAUUCACAACAACACUUGGACUCUUGUGCCAAUGUCUUCAACAUACAAGCUAGUUGGUUGUAAGUGGGUAUUCAGAACAAAGUAUAACACAGAUGGAACUGUCAGCAAGUAUAAAGCUAGAUUGGUUGCAAAGGGAUUUCACCAAACAGCAGGGGUAGAUUAUUCAGAAACUUUCAGUCCAGUGGUGAAGUCUUCAACAGUUAGAGUUAUACUCAGCUUGGCAGUUAUAAAAGGGUGGAAAGUCAGACAAAUUGAUGUAAAUAAUGCAUUCCUUAAUGGAGAUCUUUCUGAGAACGUAUAUAUGACACAACCAGAAGGCUUUGUAACUAAGGAAGGGUACAUCUGCAAACUCAAUAAAGCUCUCUAUGGUCUAAAACAAGCUCCACGAGCCUGGUAUGAAAAAUUGAAGGGUUGUCUAACUACUUGGCAAUUUCUUAAUUCAAAGGCUGAUACAUCUCUAUUCAUUAAACAUGAUACAAGGGGCUUAAUCAUAGUAUUGAUCUAUGUGGAUGAUAUUCUAGUCACUGGACCAGAUUCUGCUUUACUAGAGGAUUUUAUUGUUAAACUCAGUCAGACAUUUGCCUUGAAAGAUCUGGGAUUAGUUGCUUACUUCCUAGGUGUUGAAGUUAGUUACUUUGAUGAAGGUAUGCAUCUAUCUCAAACAAAGUAUAUUAAAGACUUGCUGAGUAAAGCAUCUAUGGAGAAUUGCAAAGGGUCUGAUACUCCUCUUAGUACUGGUUUGAAGCUAGAAAGAAAUGUCAGGGGUCCUUUGGGUCAGGAGUUCGAAAAUCCAACACAAUACAGAAGCAUAGUUGGAGGGUUACAAUAUCUAAUUCUCACCAGGCCGGAUAUAGCUUAUUCAGUUCAUAAGCUCAGUCAAUACCUCAGUUCUCCUACUGUUCAGCACUGGUUAGCCUGCAAAAGAGUUCUUCGAUAUCUCCAGUCAACCAUCACCUAUGGUCUCUAUCUUAGAAAGGAAGCAACUCUGGAAAUUGGAAUAACAGGCUAUACAGAUGCUGACUGGGCUUGUGGUCUUGACGACAGAAAAUCAAUUGGAGCCUAUUGUAUAUACUUGGGUAACAAUCUGAUUUCAUGGUCUUCCAAAAAGCAAGCAAUUGUAGCAAAGUCAAGCACAGAAAGUGAAUAUCGAGCCCUGUCAGCAGCAUGCUCAGAAAUUUCUUGGUUGCAGUCUUUAUUUUCAGAACUCAACAUUGCUAAACUACCUACUCCAGUUCUUUGGUGUGAUAACCAAAGUGCAGGGGAGCUAGCUCGCAACCCUGUGUUUCACUCAAAAUCUAAGCACAUAGAGUUGGAUGUUCAUUAUGUUAGAGACAAAGUGCUUGGAAAAGAAUUGGAGGUUAGAUACAUUCCUACUGAAGAACAAGUAGCUGAUGUUCUGACUAAGCCCUUAUCUUUUUCUAAAUUCAGCUUUUUUAGAUCCAAGCUCAAUGUCGUUAGUAGACCUUUGAGCUUGAGAGGGGAUGUUAAGGAAGCACACAUCAGUAGCAUAGACUGUAAAGCAGAGGAUAGCAGCAGCUCCAGCUUACAGUUAAGAGUUGAUGACAUGGCAUGCCAGCUGGCACCUGGUGGUUAUGUAAUCACUUGUUCACGUGAUAAUUAGUUGAAGUUGUUAUAGCUAGCUAGAAUUAGUUUUGUAAUGAGUUAACUAAUUGAGCUGAGCAUCAGUUGUGUAUAUAAGCAUCUCUGUGUACAGUUUCAUAAGUAAGUUUUAGAUGAAUAAAAUCGUAUGAGCUAAAAGCUUUCAGUUCUUAAAUUUUCUUAGCUUCCAAACAUCCUUUUUCUGAUUUCUUACUCUAUGGGAAAAAAGUUGUAACUAUAAAAUGAAAAUUAAUAAUAUGUAGUAAAUGUAAAUUUUAAGUAAUAAUUUUGACAAAAUUAUUAAAGAUAUAAGAGAUUUUCUCUUAUACAAGUGAAAAAUCAUAUCAAUAUAGCUUCCAAACUACAGUAGCUAGUGUUUACCAAACACUUUAGUGUUGUAACUUUUACGCUACAGCUGCCCAACUUCAAUCCCAAACGCACCCAUAAUCAUCUUAAUUUGUAACACCAAGAUAUAUAUAUAUAUAAACACUUUAGUGUUGUAACUUUUACGCUACAACUGCCCAACUUCAAUCUCAAACGCACCCAUAAUCAUCUUAAUUUGUAACACCAAGAUAUAUAUAUAUAUAUAUCUGUGUGUGUGUGUGUGUAAAUUUUAGAGUUUGGUAAAAAAAUCAAAAUCAAAAUCACUUUUGUGAAAAUAAGUCCCUCCUACAGCUGAUUUUAAAAAGAAAGAAAAGAGAUGCUUUCAGAUUUUGAUUUUGAGAACUAAUUUUAUCCUUUAAUACAAUUCCAUAAAUAUCCUUACAAUUAUUACCCAAACCUAAAACUUCCCUCAUUCAAAUUGGAAAUAAAAUUAAUAUUUUAAUAAAUAUUUAUUGUAAUUCACACAUUCCCUUUGUUUACUCUAUUUCUUCUUUAUAUUUUACCAUUCCAUUAAAAGUUCUCUAUGGCAAAUAGGCAAGAUAGAGUAUGUCUUUCAUCGCCUUUUAACUAAAUUCAUGCAUAUUUAAUGCAAUUGAUUGGUGUAAUUCUUAAUAUAAUAUUUGUUUGUUUAUUUUGUUUGGAAUUGUUUAUUUCUAAAAGAUUUCAUGCAUGUUCAAUUGCAAUGUUUAUAAUUUUUUAUGCCGCCAGUCGAUGGUUCAAGUAUAUGAACUAUGAGUGUUUGUGAUUUUUAGUUUUUACGUCAUUUGUCAAUUCUUAACAAAUUAUUUUCUAUAAUAUUAUUGAUUGUCUUUUUUUCUUUUACUAUAUAUUUUAUCCGCCAUUCAUUUUCUUUUUUGUUCAUUAUAAUUUUUAAAGUAAUAUUUGUGUUAAAAUAUAUUUGCAAUGAUGGACAAACACUAGGAACUUAUCAAUCAAACUGAAACUAAUAACGCACCACGAGGUACGGCUAUAUGGAAUAGUGAGACUAUCAAUUUUUUUUAAUUCAUGUAUAAAAGUAGAUGAAGGACUUCACCCUGGGACCAUUUUACUAAACUAGAAUGGGAAAAUUUGGUCAAAAUUUUUUGUAAAGCAAUGGGAAGAGAAUAUAAUAAAUUACAAUUGAAAAAUAAAUGGGAUGCACUAAAUAAUAAUCGGAAAUUAUGGAAAGAUCUUAUUGAAAAGAAAACUGAUCUAGGAUGGAAUAUACAAAAGAAAAUAAUUGAUGCAUCUCCGAAAUGGUGGCAGAGUAAAUUGAAGUUAUUUCUGGGGUUGAGAUUGGAGAAAAAUAAUGGUUGUUUGCUACUCAACUUUUUAAUCGUAAAGAGAAAAGGGGGAUGUUUACAACCAUGAAAGAACCUCAAAUUAUGCUUAAUUGGCUUUACUAUGAGCAAUCACAAAAUUUGCAGUCUUAAAUAUUACUCUUCUCUUUUAACAGUAAUAAGGGAAUUUUUUUUUGUUAUGUAUUUUUUCCUUAUGAUGUUUUAAGGUACAAUUGGCUAUUUAAAUACUGACAGUAAGUUAUUAUUAGUUUUGAAUGUUUGUCAUAUAUUUUUUAUUUAUUUAUUUUUUAUUCAAGCUAGAUGAUAUGGGUUUAAAUUAUUGAUUUCAGGUUUUGUUUAUAAUAUGGGCUAGCCAGAUGUCGAGUAGGAGUUUGACAGCAGUACCGUAUCCACUUUUAUGAUGCACUGACAAUAUUAUGAACAUGUUUUUAUAACACUAUAAAAUAUUUGACAACUUUGUAAAACAAUGGAAAAGAUAAUUUAUAACAUUGUAAAAUUGGUUACGAAUUUUUUUAAAAUUUGAAAUUCCUGAACAUGAGAACGACUCUUAUAAUAAGAAUUUAUAAUAUUUUCACCUUUUUUUAUAAAAUUUAUAUUUAUCCACACUAUAAACAUCAAAAAAGAAACUCUUAGAUAACUUGAGAGAUAUGAGCCUAUGGGUUCGAUUGAUAUAGAUUUUCAAAUAGAGUUUAUUUCAGUAAACCUUUUGUUAAUAAAGCUUUUAUAAGUAGAGAUUUCACCCCAAAAAAAUAGUUGUUUGGUUGGUAAUAAAAGAUUUUAUUAAAAAUUAUAAAAUUACUUUAAUAGACAAGUUUUUAAAAGUUAUGUCAUAAGAGGAAUGAAAUAAAAUUGUUAAAUAAGUAGGAUGUUUUAGACCUUUUAAUUUUUUUAAAAAGCUUUUCAAUCUCUACUUUUAAAAGUACAAAAUUUGAGCUUUUACUAGUAUAUGUAAAAUAACUUUUUUAAUCUUUAAAAGCUCUACUAAAAAAAUAACUAAAUAACUAAGAAAAAUAAAAAAAAGCUUAUGAGAUUAAAUAAGUUCCUAUAACCAUUAAAUAAGUCAUACAAAAUAGACACCAUAUCAUAUUAGAAAAAAUCCUUAACCGACAAAAUUACAGGCCAACAACAAAUCCCAACCACCAUCCUGAAAAAAAAAAAGAAUUCAUAACAAUCACCAUAAUCCUAUCUGACGCCAUAUCGGCGGAUGAUGUCACCAAUAAUAAUUAUAAUGAUAAAACUAUUAAAAAAAAUUAUGGUGCAGUCAACUGCCAUGCCUGGCGGGUUCGCUUGUGGGUUCAAAGCCGCUGUCCGAGCCGUGGUGGAUGCCGACGCAUUUCAUAAUUUAUCUCUACUUCUUUCCCUUACAGAUGGAAAAUGGUAAAUUUUCAAAUUGUUUAUCUUUCUUUUUUUGGUUUUUAUUAUUGCAUAACUUUUAAAUGUUUGCCUAAUUCUUGUUUCAAAUUAGCUGGCAUGUUUAAAUUUGUUGCUUUACUGAGCUUAAUGUUCAAUUUGUAUGAUCACAAGCGAGGGAUCCUGUGAUCUUUAUUAAGCUAAAAUUUUUGGCUUAAUGUUCAUAAGAAUAUAUCUCUUUGGAUUCUAAUACGAAGCUGGUUUAGCUGUUCAAGUAGACCAGUUAGUUUUAAGUUGUUAAUUUUGGAUAUACUUAUGAAGAUGGGGCAUCUAUAGCCGACUCUUCUCCAUUUAGAACCUUCUCUUUGCUCUUUUCUAGUUAAAUCUUUACUUAUCUUUCAGUUCUCAAACUUAGAUGGCGUUUGUUUUUUUAUCUGAAAUCUGAAUAAAUCUUAAUUUUGAAUAGAAUUAAAUGUCUGAAUCUAAUUGAUAUGUGUGUUUUUUUGUUUGAAUUGCUAAAAACAAAUAUUAGGUUAUUUGUUUUUUAACUUAAAAAAUCUGAAAAUUAAUAUUUUUACAUUUGUACCCUUACAAAUUAUAAAAACUAAAGUAAUAAACAUCUCAAAAAACUUAAAUAAGAUAAUAUAUUAUCAUAAUAUGAAUCAUAUUUAAUUAAAUACAACCCUUUAUAUUCUAAAUUAGUAUAUGUUAAUCAAUUUUAUUGUAGCUCAUGAUGUUUUUAUGUGAAAAUAUUCAUAAAAAAUUAUGAAGAUAGAUAAUGCUAAUUUGAAGAAAACAAAAAGAUAAAAAUAAUAAUAGUCUAUCACUAUAUUGUCACAAGUUAUACAAAUUGGUAAUAAUGUUGAUUAUUAAAUUUUAUUUAGGUAAUGAUGAAAAUUCUUUAAUUAGGUAGGGAUAUUUUAGAUAAUAUCUUUUAACAAUAUCAUUAAGACUUUUUAGAUUAAGUAAAAAGAUAAAAAAAAUUGGCUUAAUAACUUAAUGACUCAAUGACUUAAUGACUAAAACUUUUCAUUGAGUUGAAAAAAAUGGACUUAAUAGCUUAAUUAAUUAAAAUUAAGUCAAGUAAGUUAUUAGGUCAAAAAAACAAAUAGCCUCUUAGAUAGUAUUCAAAUUUAGAAAUUGAAUUUCUGUUGUACAUAGAGGAAAAAUUUACUGUGUUUAUUAGCUGAGGCUUAACAAUCUGAAAAGUCAAGUAAACAUUACUAGUAGUUUAUUCUUAUGGAAAUUGGAACUGUAUUCAGAAUGAUGUUGCGGCUACUAAAAGGUUCUAUUAUGUUUUUCAUCAUUUUGUUUCCGUGAAGAUGGAAAAUGAACUCAUUUGGUUUUUGUGAUGUUUACUGAUUCUGCUUGUAAGAAGGGGAAAAAAAACUAGUUUGCAUGAGAAAUUGUAAUACCCAAAUUCUCAUAAGGAUUUUUUAGCCAUUUCCAAGCCUUAAUAGUGAGAAUUUAUAAAUAAAUCAAGGUAUUAGAAGCAUAAGCAUGGAUUAAAGAAAGGAACCAUUCAUACACUGGUUAUUAGAGCAGUUUAAUAUGUGAUGUUUGUCAAUUUCUUUAGGAAUUUUUCUCUUAGAAACCAAAAACAAUCUUUAAGUCAACAGUUCGAAAACUUUCCUUUUUUUCAAAUGGGUGGUUCUUGUUCAUAUGCCUGGGAUUCAGCGUCUAUAAAUAUAUUCUCAAAAAGCAGCAAGCUGCAGAGUUAUUUUACUUUAUUCCGAAUUUUUUUAUAUAAUAUUUAAAAUUUUCUUCUAGCAGGCAUAGACUAGGAAAAUCCCCUUCAAAUCUUAUAAAUCAAAGCUGGGAUUCAGGUGUGACCUGUGCACGACUAAAAAAAGAGAACUGAGCAUGAAUGGCUUCUGUCAAUUUCAAACCUGCCUUCAUUUGAUUUGGAAAUAACUUUUUGUAAUGCUCCUGUACGUCAAUGAUGCAGUCUGUCCUAAGUUUGCAACCCCAUGUUAGUCCAUGGUGUAUGCUUCAAAAAUAAAUUUUAGGUUGUUUCUUUAAACUCUAUUCCAUGUUAGCAAUCUUUUGUCAUGUCACUUAUUUACUGUACGUUUCUUAAACAGGAAAACGGGGUGUAACAAAUUGGAAAUAGUUAUGUCACAUGUUCGACUUUUGGAGCAAACUGUGAAGGGCAGCACAUUGGUACGACAGCGUGAUGGUUGAUCACUCUUUUCCCCUAGCCACCUCAAUAAUAGCAAGUGGUAGGCCCAGUAGUUUACAGUGAGCCGUGAGCCGUGUCAUGCACCGCUUGGAGAAAAGGAAAAAAAAAAAAGAAGCCAAACGUGGCAACCUUCAAAAGCACUUGGUCAUGCAUGCUUGAAGCGGUGGCAUAUAUAUAUAUAUAAAAUGCAACCUUUUGAUAAUUGCUUCAUUUACCAAAUUGGAGAACCGAGAGCAAAAACAGAGCAAGACCGAGAGCAGAAAAGAAGAGAAACCGAGAGAAAAGAGAAGAGAAAAGAGAAGAAAAAGAAAAAGAAAAGAAAGGAAGAAAAGGAAGAUGCCGAGAGUGGGGAAGAGAGAAAUUGAAAGGAAAAGUUACUGAAAAAUAGAAUUGAAUAGUUAGAUUAAAAUCUAGUAACUUAGUGGGUAAUAGAUUUAUGAAGUUUGAACAAUUAUGUUAUAGUUUACAUGACACACAUAAGUUUUAUAAUAGUUCUAAAAGUAAUUUUCUAAUCCUGUAUUUUAGGAGGAACUCGAGAAUCCGAGAACGCACAAGAGCUCCAACGAACCCCAAAGCGAAACAUGAUUUAUGAGUGGACACUAUUAAUAUUAUUAUAGAUUCCGUGAAAUAUUUAUAUUUGAUAUUAUGUUUUAAUAUCAUGUUAUAAUUACAUGUAUACAUAUUAUAUGUUUGAUUGAGUCAUGAGAUGUAAUUGCCAGUCACCAUCUAUGUACCCUUCCUUAUAGGCUCUGCGCAUAAGUAUUGGGAAUUAGGUUACUCUACCCGUGCGAGAUAGUUUAAUUACACCGGGUAUUGAGAGGUGUUUUCCCCGCUCUACUCGUGCGAUGAUGUUCCCGAAAAAUAUUGAGAGUUAUUCCCCUGGGUACUAUUUGGUGCAACUUAUGAUGUAUGUAUGUAUGAAUUUCAUAUCUGCUGAUGUAUGAUAUUCAGUGUGGAGUUAUGUCGCAUGAUUAUGUAUAAGCAUUAGUACACAUAUGUUAUUAUUAUUAUUAUUAUUAUUAUUAUUAUUAUUAUUAUUAUUAUUAUUAUUAAUAUAUAUAAUUACAUCCACUCACUGAGCCGCAAGUGCACUAUUUUCUUAUUUACCCACUUCCUUCCAGGUUUCCGCAGGAUUUCGUGCAGACCAAUUUCUAGUCAGUUGAGGUUGGGUCACAAGACGCAUUACUGAAUAACUUGCAUUUUGAGCACAUUUAUGUUGCUUAUGUUUAUAUAGUUUCAGUGUAAGUAUGUAUAGUAAGACAUGAACUGUGCAAGUUUUGAAUGUAUAUUUUCGGAUGAGACAUAGGGGUUAUUAUGUGCUUAUAUCAGAGACCAUGUUUAUAUAUGUAUAUAUUCAUGAAUUAAAUUUGUGCCAUGAGUUUUAGUAUUAGUCCACACGAUUCACCUCAAAUUCGACAUGUAGGUCGGGGUGGGUCGUGUCAAGCCGCCUGAUAUUAUUAUACUUUUUUGGGAUGGAUACCGUAAGAGCCAGCUCGCACGGUAUAGCUUGCUGUUACAGCCUUAAAACUCGAGGCACACCAAUGCUUGGCUUGCGGCCUUGUGCCAAGCAUAAUGAGGCAGCGGACGUGCGAGAAAACAAGGCAAGUCUGCAUGCGGGCUGGGGCGUGGCAGCAUGCGAGAUAUGUGCAAGGCAGCGCACAAGUGCUUCGAGGGUAUAGCGCGCACACAAAUGCGCACGCUGAUGGGCAGCGGGCGAGCGUAAGCAGUCCCAAGCAGCAUGCGCGCACACAAAGCGUGCCAGGCAGCGCGCACGCGCACGCUAACGGAUAGCGGACAGGCGCGCCAAUGGAGUGCACAUGCACAGAACAUGUGCCACACACAAGCAUCAGGCCAAGGGGAUUGUUGGAGCAAUUCUUAGUGGCGGCGGCCCGCCACUACAUGGGCACUACCUAAAAUGGGGAUCUUGUCUAAGUGGGGAUGGUCCGCCACUAUUCAAUGUAUCCUAAAUAAUAGUGUAUGGGCAAAGCACUUAGGUAGUGGGCUUAUUUGUUUAUGUGUGCUGGUGGCAAAUAAGGCAUGGGUUGGGAAUACUCUAUACUAUCCUAGUAAGUGGGGUUGUCACUUACAGUGAGUGGUAUUCUCCAAGCACUCUUGUUGGAAGCUAUUUGUAGUUCCUUGUUCUUGAUUAAUAAGAAAAGGUUUGAAGUCGGUGCUUCCGUAAAUGUCGUGUGCCUUGUGUUUGUGUUUCGUUUGUUGUAUCGUUGAAAAUCUUGGGGUGUGUUGCACACACAUAGCCUCCGUUGCGAAUUGUCGAGUGGCUGGCUAAGCGGGAAACUUAGCGCCAUCACGGGCUUGCCGCAUCGAAGAAAAUAGCCUUGUGACACUUGCCAUGAUUGACAUGGUUCCAGUUAGCACCUGGGUGGUUCGAACUAACUUAUUCAUCUUCCCCAAACCAAAUUAUGAAUAAACUCACUAUUUUAAGGAGGAAAACUUCAUUUAGGUAGUUGUCUGAGCUCCUCGGAAACUUUCAUAUGUAUAUUUCUUUGAGAGAUGUAUAUUUGGAUGUUAUCCACUGCUUCCUUAAAUUAUUUAGCUGCGGAAGAUGAUUAAUCGAAUAGGUUAUUUUUUAGUGCUAAGUUUACUGGCAGAGAUGGGUUGCAUAAUAAUGGGUUUUGUGGUUCAAAAAUAUAUAGAGCAUCUGGGAUACGAAAUGAAGGUAUUAAGGUGUUUUGCUUUCUUAAUUGGUAUUUUCUUGGGUUGUGGAUUUCAGUUCCUUUGCAUGAUUUUAUUUUUUAUUUUUCCCUCAAGUUAUACUUCUCCAUUUUUUUGUUAAAAAUUCCAGACCGUGGCAUUCAAUUGUUAAGUAAGGAACAUUAUCAGACAACUUCGAAUAUGUAAUAAAAACUUUAAAGAUAUGGUAACAUAUUUGAUAAUGCCUAAUAUCACGUACUUGAAAUUCCUUUAAAGAGAAGUUUUGCAUAUUGUUAUAGAGCAUUUCUUCGUCCAGGUCAUGAUAGUAGACUGAUGGUUUUAACUGAACUGGGGAGAGGAAUUGAGGGUGAAAUUUUGAAAGCAGGCAAUGGUAUUGGAGUGACAUAUCAAAAACACUGUUAGAUAAUUAAAUCACAAACUAUGUAAGGAGAGAAAGAUUUUAUUCACAAGAUGAAGAAGAUACAUCUAGUCAAGGGGACUUACAAGCCUUAUCCCUUUUGAUUUGGUAAAAUCUCGAACAAGAUUGUGAUGUGGUGAAAGUAGAAAAUGAUUGAAAAGUACAGGACCAUUUACUUGGAAAUAUAAACAAUUCAAUAAUAAAUUUUACAAACUAGACUAAAUCUUUAACAAUUGAGACACUUUCUGCAUGGUUGGUCUGGAUUCUGGACUCUCAUCCAAACAUGAAAUAGCGACUUCUAUGAUUGAUAUCAAUUUGUCCCGAAUAUUGCAUGAUGGGGUUGGAAGCCGAGGAUCCAAUAUUUCAUCAAGUGCUAUGUCCAAGUUUGAAGAUGAAGAGCAAAUUGAGGAAAUGAAAUCUCUUGGAUGCUUUCCUUUUAUCACUUCCAAUGCUAAAAUUCCAAAGCUAUACACGUCGCACUUUUCAGUAACUUUCAUUGUGUAUGCGAGCUCUGAAAGGGAAAAAUAAAAAUAAUUUUUUGUAACGUGGAAUCUAGUUAAUAGAUAUUAGUUAGUAUAUUGUACAUGUUUGAACAACAAUAUAGGUACCUGGUGCAACAUAUCCAAAUGUGCCUACAAGUUCUGUCCAAUUGGAUGAGUCUGGCUUGAGAAACUUGGCAAUUCCGAAAUCUGAAACAUGAGCUUCAUACUCCAAAUCCAACAACACAUUCUUGCUUGAUAUGUCUCGAUGAACAAUUGGAGGGAAGCAAUCGUUGUGCAAGUAAGACAAUGCAUCAGCUACACCUUUUAUCACAUUCAUUCUUUGUGUCCAGCCCAAUUCCUUUGCUGCUGCGUCAUUGCUGAGGACCAUGGCCAAGCUACCGAUUUCAAGAUAUUCAUAAACUAAAAAUGAGUGUUGGACAUGUGAACAAACGCCGUAAAAUUUCACAAUGUUACGAUGCCGUAUCUCAGUCAAUGCCUUGACUUCAUUCAUGAAUUCUUGUUGAUAUGUCAUCUCACCUGGGAGUGGCGAAUGAAAUUUCUUGACUGCAAUGAUUUCUCCAGAAGGUAGAUUAGCUUUGUAUACACUUCCUUGUCCACCUUUUCCAAUGCAGUGCUCAUCAUCAAAACCAUUCGUUGCCUAAUGAUUUCUUCGUACACGAUUUUUCCUUCAAAGGUUAACACUGAAAGAAAUCCUCGAGUACCUCUAGGGCUACUCUGUAGUGUUUGUAAGGCAUUUUUCCUUCUUCGGAAAAUAAAGAACAAUGCAAUCAAAGAAAUCAAAAGAGCAACAGUCCCUAAGAGAGGGAAUACAAUAACAACCCAAAUCUUUCUCGAAGCUGGUUUGUGUGACUUGGAUGCUUUACAAGAUUGAAAUCCUUUGAUAUCUCCACACAAUCCUUCGUUCCCUUGUAAUGCUUCCAUCAGAGCAUCGCUGAAGGCUGUGCUGUUAGGAAUCGGUCCAUGUAACUCAUUGUAGGAUAUGUCAAUAUACAAAAGACCAUUCAUUUCCUCAAAGCAUCUUGGAAUGAAAUCAGAAAGGUUAUUGUGGGAGAGGUUCAACAUUUCUAGGCUUCGCAUAUUGCAGAUUUGAGAUGGUAUUUCUUUUCCGAGAAAGUUAUGACUCAAAUCUAACUCUGAAAGAUGAAUGAGCUUCUCCAAUUUGAUUGGAAUUUCUUGAAUGAACUGAUUGGUGCUCAAGUUCAAGUAAUGCAGUUUAACCAAGUUACCAAGACUCCUUGGAAUUGAAUUGCUUAAUCUAUUCGAAGAUAAGUCAAGGUACUCGAGUUGAAUGAGUGAGCCGAGUUCUGAAGGCAGCUGUCCAAAAAGUUGAUUCCUUCUUAAGAUAAGCUUGAUAAGAGAACUAAGCUUGCCAAUUUCUGAUGGAAUCUUGCCAAUAAUAUGAUUUGCAGAAAGAUCAAUAACGUGUAAUUGAGAUGAGUCUCCAAUCUCAGGAGGUAGGCUGCCAAUAAUAUUAUUUACGGAAACAUCGAAAGUGCCUAAAUUUGGGCAUUUUCCCCAAUCAGACGAGAUUUGACCAUAAAAGUUAUUGUGGCUAAGAUCUAUGAAAGUUAACUUUGGAUGAAUACCGAAAGAUUCAGAUAUAUUACAAGUGAGAUGGUUUCUGUUGAGACGUAGUCUUAUUAGGUUUGUCAAAUUUCUCAAAUUAGGAAUUGAACCUUGUAAUUGGUUAUCGCUUAAAGUUAGCAUAGUUAAUUUCACUAGGUUUCCUAAUUCUUCAGGAAUAACACCAGAAAGUGCAUUAUCGUAAAGAGCCAAGAGAGUCAUGUGAGUUAAAUUACCCAAAGAAUGAGAGAUUGAGUUACUGAGUUUAUUGUCACCCAAUUGUAGCUCGAAAAGAGACUUUAAGUUUCCAAUUUCUCUUGGGAUUGAACCUAAAAGUGUAUUGCUAUGAAGAUACAAGAUAGCCAAGUUGGUCAAGUUACCCAAAGAAUGAGGGAUCGAGCCACUAAGUUUAUUUUCGCUUAAAUCUAGAUUGGAAAGAGACUUCAAAUUUCCUAUUUCACUUGGAAUUGAACCAGAAAGUGAAUUUUUAUAAAGAUAAAAGGCAGCCAAGUUGGUCAAGUUACCCAAAUAAUGAGGGAUUGAGCUACUGAGUUCAUUGUCAGCCAAUUCUAGACCGGAAAGAGACUUUAAGUUUCCUAUUUCACUUGGAAUUGAACCAGAAAGUGAAUUUGUAUAAAGAUACAAGGUAUCCAAGUUGGUUAAGUUACCUAAAGAAAGAGGGAUUGAGCCAUUAAGUCUAUUUUCACCUAACUCUAGAAUGGAAAGAGACUUUAAGUUUCCUAUUUCACUUGGAAUUGAACUAGAGAAUGAAUUAUUACGAAGAUACAAGGUAUCUAAGUUUGUCAAAUUACCCAAAAAAAGAGGAAUUGAGCCACAAAGUUUAUUGUUGCCCAAUGCUAGAGAGGAAAGGGACUUCAAGUUUCCUAUUUCACUUGGAAUUGAACCAGAAAGUGAAUUAUUAUGAAGAUACAAGAUAGCUAAGUUAGUCAAGUUACCCAAAGAAGGAGGGAUUGAACCUUUCAAAAAGUUUGAGGUCAAAGCAAGUUCGUUUAGAGAGCUUAAUCCCCCUACUUCAUGAGGAAUCGGGCCACUUAGUUGAUUCUUGAACAAGUGAAGGGCCUCGAUAUAACUUAGGUGGCCAAUUUGUGGUGGUAUUCUUCCAGAAAAUUGAUUAGCGGAUAAAUAAAGGAACUUGAGCAUGGAAAGGUUACCAAUUUGAGGCGGGAUGGUACCAGAAAACGAAUUGGAUGACAAGUCAAGGUACUUGAGUUUUGAAAUGUUACCAAUUUGAGGAGGAAUGAUUCCAAAGAUUUGAUUGACCUGAAGAUCGAGAUACGCAAGAUGAGGAAAUGAUGAGAAUGAGAAAUCAUGAAGCGUACCUUUUAAACCUACAUUUGUGAGGUUAAUACUAUUGACUCUUCCAACAUGGUUGCAAUGAAUUCCAAACCAAGCACACGGGCUUAUUUUGGUGGCAUUAUUAAGAGUCCAUGAAGGCAGGAGCGAUCCUUUAUCAUGAUUUUGUAGGCUAGUUUUCCAUUUGAGAAGAGCAUGGACUUCUUCCGUAGAAUCAGAAUAAACAAUUAGUGGGAAAUCUAAAACGGGAAAUAAGAUCAGAAAAAAGAGUGAGAAAAUUACUAAACUAAUUUUCAAGUUUGGUAACACCAUUGUGCAAUAGAAGAUCAACUACAACUUGAUAAUUAUAGAAACAGUAAAGAACAAUUAAAGAUGAAAACAAUAAGAAUUGAAGAUUAGCUUAACAAGGCCGAUAGAAAUAAACAUCUAAGAAUGAUCAAAUCUACAAAGAAACAGACUGAAAACCAAAUUUAUAGUAACUAUACAAGAGAGCAAAUGAGUUAAUAGAAUCAAUGACGUGAGCCAACAAGGAAACUGCUCUAACAUAGACUAGUUGCUGUUAGAGAAAAACAAUUGGUUUUUCAUUAAUUUUGUUUGUUAUCUGUCAAUUGCCGCCUUAUUAAUUGUAUAUAUGCUUCCUUGUAAUGAAUGGCAAACGAGGUGUCCACCGAGAGGUCUAAAAAUCAAUGCAUGGCAGCAUGUGUUAAGAUCGGUUAAGUAGGCGAGCAACAUUAAUUGGUCCAUAUGUGUUGCCAUUUAGAUUUUAUAUAUCUUAACUAGUUAUUGGGGACUAAAUAGUACUUUUCUGUCCAAUCAGACCUUUAAUUAUAUGCUUCUUUUGGCUUCAACGGAUAUCUACCAAGAAUAUGAACCGUCACGGUGUUAAUUCCAAGAUGUCAACGUUAGUUCUAAAAAUCAAUGCACGAGGAUUGACGAAGAAAUUCAGUAUUGGUUAUGUUAAUUUGUUAAAUUAAUUCUAUUGUAAUAGCUGAGCGACAUGCUAAAGAAAAAAAAAAAAAUUGAGUCGUGCGGCACAUUUCAAAUUUUUUUAUCAAUGUGUACGGCAGCUUGUGUAUAUAAUAUUAUAGAUAAGAAAAUAAAUGGUCCAAAUGUGUUGGCAUUCAGACUUUAUAUAGCUUAACUAAUGGAGGAGUGAUCAGUCAGAUCAGCCCCGGAAUCAUACAUGUUGCUUUAGCUUCAACGAAUAACUACAAAGAAUANNNNNNNNNNNNNNNNNNNNNNNNNNNNNNNNNNNNNNNNNNNNNNNNNNNNNNNNNNNNNNNNNNNNNNNNNNNNNNNNNNNNNNNNNNNNNNNNNNNNAUUAAUAUUAUUUGUUAAAUAACGCUUUAUUACUGUAAGAUUUUAUCGUCGUUGUGUUACUAUUAAGAUUCUUAAUAUUUUUUUAAAAAAAAUUGAUGAACGAGUAUGGACGAGGAAAUAUAAUAUGAUUUGUUCCAUUAAAAAAAAAGAAAAAAAAAGUAUGAUAAGUUGUGCACAUAGACAACAACCAACUAGAGACAUAGAAUACAUAAUCCACAACAAUUCAUUUCGCUAUCAAUGUUUUGUAGUCCAGAUACUUUUCUUCUAGUUCUCAUGAACUAACUGAAUAUAUAACCCAAAUUUUAAGAACUUUUAAGAAAAAAUUAUCCUUUAUAGAAAGAUCAAAACAAAUUAAUUUACCCAUCACACAAGGAUCCUUAAGUUAUUAAAUUAAGUGAUAAGUUAAAAUACAAGAAAUACACACACUCACAUGAUAAAACGCACUGUAUUAGAGUGCCGUGUUUUACUUUUCUUUUAGUUUGUUUUUUAACUUAAUUACUUAAAGGAUCUCUUAUUAGCUAAUAACUACAAUUUAGAUUGUGUAAAAAAUUAAGUGAUUGACAAGUUGUGUACAUAAAACAAUAAACAAACUUGUGAUAUAAAAUUACAUAAACAAUGACAGGUCCUAUAUCUGUAUCAAAAAUUUAUAAGUAAUGGAAAAGAGUUAUGUACUGCAAAAUAAAAAAAUUGAUAAUUUUUAAAAAGAUAAAAGAAUACUCAUUUUCUUGAAAAAAUGACAUUUACACCUCCAAAGUUUAGGGAAAUUGUCACCAACACCCCCAAGUUUUCAGAAAGGGACACCAAGAUUUUUUUUACGAUAAUAUCCUUUACCUCUAUUAUAAAAAAAAUCAACUAUAAUGUUUUAUAAUAAAUAAAAAUAUAACACUAAAAUAAAUGCAAUAAUGUAUACAUUGUAACAUAAUUGCAACACUUAAAAAAUAUUUUAGUAUUUUACAAUCUCUUAGAUAUAUUUUAUUAUAUAAAAUUAAAUUUUAUAAUAAAUAGAAUCAUAUUAUUAAAACAAGUUUAUUAAAAUUUAAAUUAUUUUGAAUAUUAUGUAAAAUAAUAAUAACAUCAGUAUGCGAGAUUUUUUUAUUGUAGAAUAUAUUUAAUGCAAAUAUUUAUUUAAAAUAUCUAAAAUAAAUAGAAAUAUAUUAUUAAAUAAAUAUAACAAAUUACAUAUUUAAAUUUAUCAAAAUAUUAAAUUAUUUUAAUAUUCUCAAUGUAUUGCAUAGAUUACAUUAUUUAUAAAAUAAUUCUAUUUAUUGAAAAUUUAGAUUCAAUUUUUUAAAAGGUAUAAUGAUCAAAAAGAGAUCUUUGUGUCCCUUUUUAAAAGAUUGGGGGUGUUGGUGAUUAUUUUCUCAAACCUAGGGGGUGUAGAUGUCCUUUUUCCUUUUUUUUUAAAUUUUUUUUAAUUUGUUUGUUGUUUAAAAAAAGAUUGGUGAAUCAAUGUAUUCCUUUUUCAUAGUUGAGAAAAAGAAGUAUACGUCCAAAAUUUGUUGACUUAUAAGCAAAAAAAUCCACAAAAUUAUUUUUUAUAGUCAAAAAUUUUUGUAACGGGCAUACUUUGUUCCGUUUAAGCUUAAUUUUGCGAAAUCAAAACCACAAUUAGAGAUGGAUGCAUUCUACUGAAAUCAAAACCACAUUUUCAAUCAGUUUUCAGAAAAUGAAAUGGAUGCAUUAUGUAAAUCUCCCCAUCAGUUAAGGAGGUCAAGAAGUCAACACUCAAAAGUUUUUCCACAAAGAUUAAUGGACAAAAUUGACCGUCGCCUUUUUAGACCUUGAGCGACUAACCAAUUUGUUUACUGGGCAUUAUCUGUCCGAAGAUGAUGUCUGUGUCGGUAAACGGAAUAGUCGACCAAUUCCAAAUCAAAGCAACAAACUGUGCCUUUCAAUACCCAUUAGUCAUAAUAAUGUGCACUUUGAUAAAGAUAUAACUGCUUCGAUAUAAUAAAUAUAUAAAUGAUAAACAAUAAGCAAAAAUUUUGGAUCUAAAUUGAGAUGGUCUGAGGCGGACCCAUGAUUUUAAUUUACAACAGAAAUAUAAUACGACGCAUUCCAUUAAAAAAAUAAUAAUAAAUAAGUGUGACAAGUAAACAACAAGCAACUUGUGAUGUAGAAUACGUAAUCCAUGACAGGUAAUUUCUCUUCCAAUGUUUUGUAGUCCAUAUAUUUUUCUUUGAGUUCUUAUGGACUACCUGAAUGGUUAGCCCAAACUUCAAAAACUUUUAAGGAAAAUUUAUCCCUCACAGAAAGAGCAAAAUAAAGUAAUUAACCCAUCAUAGAGACUAUAUCCAAUUUAAAAAGUAAUGUUACAUAUUAGAGUUUGUGUUUUAUAUAUCUUUUAAUUUGUCUCUUAAAUUGAUAACUUAAGUAAUCUCUUAUUAAAUAAUGACUCAAAUUUAAAUUAUGUAAAAGAUUGAGUGACUGACAAGUUGUAUACAUAAAACCACAAACAAACUUGUGACGUAAAAUACAUAAACCAUGGCAUCAGUAGGUCGUAUAUUUGUAUCAGAAACUUAUAAAUAAUGGCAAAGAUUUAUGUACGGUAAAAUAAAAAUUCUAAAAACUAUUAAAAAAGAUUAAAAAAUUAUUUUCUUAUUCAAAUUUUUUUGAAUUUGAUUGCUAUUUAUAAAAUUGAUUGAUGAAUCAAUGAAUUCGCUUUUUAUAGUUUGAAAAAAAAAUUAUACAUGAAUAAUUUGUGACUUAUAAUAUUGGAUUUUAUGUUGUUUAACUAACUAAUGGGGUUAAUAAUAUAAUUGUUCUGUCAAAUCAGUCCUCGAAUUAUAUGCUUGUUUUAGCUUCAACGAUUAUCUACCAAGACUAUGACGUUCAUUACCAAAUGUCGACAUUAGUUCUAUAAAAUUCAAUGCACGGGGAUUGACAAAGAGAUUUAAUAAGGGUUAUGUAUGUUAAAUUAAUACUGACGUAAUGAAUGACUCGUUCCAUUUAAAAAAAAAAAAGAGUGAGAUGUUGCAACAAAAAACCUGUACACAUCUAUUACAUAAUCGCCGACACAGAUCAUAUAUCUCUAUCGAAUAGUUGUAAUUUGUAUGUGAAACUGGGAUAGCAGUAAUUAAAAAAUUCAUAUUGUUAUGUGAUAAAAUGCUAGUAUAACUUAAUGAGUCUAAUAAAUACUUUUGUGCCAAUCAUUAAGAAUUAUCACAUAAUUUACUAUUAUCAUGAUGCGGUGGUUUCAAAUGGUCACUUUUUGGCAAUUCGUUUUGGUAUUAAGCUAAAAGAUAAUGUUGAUGCUGUUGUCCAAAAGGUAAGGCAUUUGGGGUUUUCACAUAAAUUCUUUUGCUAAUUUCUUUGAAUUCAAAAUUUCCUAAAAAAAUAAACAGUUAUUUUAUUCCAUUAUGAAUCUACGAUGGCUGAACGGGUGGAAGGAUGUUGAUUGGUGUUGGGGGGACUUAGCAUAAGAUUUCUAGGUAUCCAACCCAAAAGACUAGUCUUUUAGGUAGAGUGACCUACCACCUUAUAAACCCAAGCAUCUCCCCUUUACUAGUCAAUGUGGGACACAACUCAACAAUCCCCCCCUCGGACGAAACCACCGCCGAACUCUGGUCCUUUCGUCCGACACACCUGAGUUGUUCCACCACCACAUUCCGGCUACUAGGGUCUAGCUCUGAUACCACUUUAAUCCGUGUGUAUUUUGUGCUUGAUCUAUUUGUUAUUCUUGAUUUGUUAGUGUGUUGAUUUCUUCUUGUUUGGUUCUUGAUUAUAAACCAGUGAGUUAAGUGUUCUUGGGGUGGGUUUAGUCUUGAUUGUUAGGGCUUCAAACACAACAAAUUGGUCAGUGCUGGUCAAGUUUGGUAUGAAUGAAUCAAAACCUGUCCAAACACCUUUGGCAAGCCACUUUAAGCUUUCAGCAGCUAUGUGUCCCCAAACAGCUGCAGAACAGCAAGAAAUGUCAAAAAUCCCUUACUCAAAUGCUGUAGGGAGCCUCAUAUAUGCAAUGGUGCUAACCAGGCCAGACAUUUCACAUGCUCUCAGUGUGGUGAGUAGGUUUAUGUCAAACCCAGGGGCUGACCACUGGAGGGCAGUAAAAUGGGUAAUGAGGUAUCUUAGGGGCACUACAGAGUAUGGGCUGUUAUAUGGUGGAACUAGAAAUAAAGGAAAUAUCUUGGUGGGUUAUGUAGACUCAGACUUUGCUGGGGAUCUAGAUAAGAGAAGGUCACUGACAGGAUAUUUGUUCACCUUGGGGGGAUGUACAGUCAACUGGAAAGCUACAUUACAGAAUGUAGUUGCUCUGUCAACUACAGAAGCUGAGUAUACAGUAGCUGCAGAAGCUCUCAAGGAAGCCAUUUGGCUAAAGGGAAUGGUUGCUGAACUUGGAACUGAACAAGACUCAGUUGAGGUUUAUUGUGAUAGCCAAAGUGCAAUUCACCUCAGCAAAAACCAGACACAUCAUGGGAAGACAAAACAUAUUGAUGUGAAGCUCCAUUUUGUAAGGCUUGAAGUUUCCAGAGGAGCUGUAAAGCUUCUAAAGAUAAAUACAGAGGAGAAUCCAGCUGACAUGCUGACCAAGACAGUACCCUCUGCUAAGUUCAACCUAUGCAUGAACUUAGCAGGGAUUUGUAGGAACUGAAGUUACAAAUCGUGAGGAAGAAAGUUCUGUGGAGUAGCUGGAGUAUUGAGUUCAAGGUGGAGAUUGUGAAAUAUGAACUAAAUACUCAGUCACGACAUGUCAUAUGUUGAGUAUGUGUUAGCACGACAUGUCAUCUGAUAUGCAUUUGAAACAAAACCGACAUGAGCCAAAAUGUCGUUCUUUGUUUAAGUAAAUCACAUGCUUGGCACGUGAGCUGAAGAAACUGGUUUCUCUCUAAAACGACUAAGGAAGAGGUCGUUUUGAGCAUGCUUUAUCAAGACAUGUUGCAAGCACGUGACUGAGGCAGAGACUGUUAUGAUUAGCGGGAAAAGCCGCUGAGAAAGAAUCUAGAAUCAGUUGAUAAAGAGCUGGGGUUCUGGGUUUUUGGUAACAGACCUGAGAAUUGUGAGAGGGCAAGAAAGAAGGGAAUGAGAGAGAGAGUUUCAACUAAACUUGUAAUCUCCAUUUGUGUUUGCUUCUCUGUAAACUCUUGAAAGCAAUAAAGUGAAAUCACAGAGCUUGUUUCCAGUGGAUGUAGGCAUCAUUCAUUUAGUGCUGAACCACUUUAAUCCGUGUGUAUUUUGUGCUUGAUCUAUUUGUUAUUCUUGAUUUGUUAGUGUGUUGAUUUCUUCUUGUUUGGUUCUUGAUUAUAAACCAGUGAGUUAAGUGUUCUUGGGGUGGGUUUAGUCUUGAUUGUUAGGGCUUCAAACAAUUGGGAGUAGCAAGGCUAAGCUGCUCAGAACCAAACAAAGUGGUAUUGCGAGGUUUGGCGCUCAUUUUUUGCAUAUUUACGUAGAGAUGUCAUUGUUUCUUAAAAUUUUGGCUGUGUUUGGAUUGAAGUCGGACAAAAGUUACAACAUUAAAGUGUUUUGGUAAAUAUUAAUUACUAUAGUCUUAAAACUAAAUUGAUUUAAUUUUACACUUGUAUGAUAAAAAUUAAUUAUAUCUUUAUUAAUUUUCAAAAUUAUUAUUAAAAAAUUAUAUUUAUUAUAUAUAGUUACUUUUUUUUUUUCACAACAACUAUAAUUUAAGAGCUACCAAAUGGGGCCUCACUUAAAAUGACUAUAGAUUUUGAACAGGAAGCAUGGAACCACUUUCAGUGGAUUACUUGUUUGAUUUUUGGGUGUGGAUUUCAGAAUAAGCUCCUCAAUGCAAACUGGAAUAAUUCGCUUGCUGAUGGAUAACAUAUGGGUGAAACUAGUUCAAUGUCUAUGAAUGCUCCUGAUGUGAGUGCAGGUUUCCAUGCACUUCAUUCUCUAGGAUAUACCAUGCAUUUUUAAUUAGAAGCUAUGAUCUCUAGGCUAACACUGUCUCGAAGCAGAACUCCGAUGAUAAUAUCUCUUGCAGGACAAUGUUGACACGUAUCAGUUGCUCCUCUAUUCGCACUAUUUCUCCCGUCUGGCAAGGUUAAUAUAUCUAACUUAGUGCAUGUGGAGCUAUUUGGCCUUACUAAGUCCUUGGCAAAGGCAGGGGCUGCGGUAUCCGAUUCUUUUCAGGCUGGCUAUAGCAAGAAUGAUUGAGAAAAUUAUUCCCAAAAUAGUUUCAAAUAUGGGUUCCCUAUCAGUUCCUGGUAGAACAUGAUCAAAGUGUGAAGCACAAAUGCACAAUCGUACUGUCUCGACUGCAUAUUACGAGAAAAACGAUGAAACAAACUAAAUCAAAUCGCAAAAGGCUUAAACCUGGUGAGAACCCUAGACCAAGGCCAAAAGAUCGUUAGAUGAUUCAAGAGGGCGUAAAAGAGUUGGGAGAAAUUUUACCCAACAGCGCAAAGGUAAUUGCUUUUUUUUUUUUUCUCACUAAUGAUUUUAAGUUUAUCUGUAUUUUGUCAAUAGUAGUUUAUGUUUUAAUGCUGAUACUAUUCCUCUUUCCCUUGAUAUGGAUCAACAAUGUAGCAUAGAUGCACUUCUAGAACGUACCAUCAAGCACAUGCUGUUCUUGCAAAGUCUGACCAAGCACAUUAACAAGCUAAAAUAAACAGAGGAGUCUAAGACAACUUUGAGGCAGUAAUCUUGCCUGAACUUGCAGAUAAUCAGCACGAAAGGAGGUUGGCUUUAAAAGAUAACUCUGAGAGAGGGUGACAUGGGCAUUUGAAGUCUGUUCACAAUUUGUGGUCUGUCUUAUCACAGUUGAGGAUCUGAAUCCACCUUGGCAGCUGCUCGUAAAGGUAGUAACUGGCCUUUUUUGAGUAGAAAUUGUUUGGUUUGAGUAAAUGUUCGUAUAUAUGGCCUUGUUGACAUAUGCUUUUCAAGCAACGUGGUUUCUUUUUCAAAAAAACUUACUUAAUCUGGGGAAGGGAGUGAUGGAAGCAAGGAAUGAGAAGAUCUGACAUGCUUUCGGCAGUACCGGUACAAAAGCAAUAUCGCUUUAACCAAUGAAUUAUAAUUUCCUACUAAAUUAAAUUUGCUUGCUGUAAUAAAUGAAUGAUUUAUGCACAGCUUAUUAAAGAUGUAUAAAUAUGUGACAUUUGCCAAUUUCUUUAGUUAUUUAUCUCAAAGAAAAUGAAAACAUGCUGUAAGUCUACAUUUCAAAAACUUUCCUUCCUUUCAAUUGGGUGAUUCUUGUUGAUAAGCCAGGGAGUUAGAGUCUAUACAUAUGUUAUCAAAAUACAGCAAGCUACAUGGUUUUUCUUUUAAAUUUUUAUAAUAUUCAAACUUUUCAUCUAGCAGGCUUAGACUAGGUAAAUCCCCUACAAAUCUUAUUCAUCAAAGCUGUUACUUACGAAUAUACUAGCUGCAAUAAGAACAGGAGUGAAUUUUGCGCAACAAAGCAACAUAACUUAAAAUGAUUGGGUUCAGUCAAUUUCAUUUUUUGGAGAACACACGGAUGUAACAUUGGUAAAUGCCUUGGAUAACAACAAUGUGAUGGUUCAUCAGUAAGCUCAGUUGUCCACCUGGAUAUGUUAAGAGCAAGCUCGCGUUGCAUUGCUUGCCACGACUGACAUGGUUCCAGUCAACACUCAGGUGGUUCUAACUUACAUGUUCAUCUCCCCCAACCCAAGUUGUGACUAACCUCACUUUUUUGGGAGGGAAAACUCCAUUUAGGUAGUUGUGUGAUCUCUUUAAGAACUUUCAAAUAUAUGUUUCUUACAGAGAUGUAUAUCUGAAUGGUGUCUAAUGCUUUCUUAAAUUAUUUAGCUGUGGAAGAUGAUUAUCGAAGAGGUUAUUGUAAUUGCUAAGUUAACAGGCAGAGGGGGGCAUAAUAGUGGGUUUUGUGGUUCAAUAAUGUAUAGAGCAUCUAGGAUACGAGAUGAAGACAUUUAAGGUGUUUUGUUUUCUUAAUUGGUAUUUUCUUGCAUUCCAGUUCUAUUGCAUGACUACAGCAAUCACGUUUUUCUUCGUUUCUUAUUUCAUUUUUUUCUUUUUGUUAUACUUCCUAAGUUUUUUGUUAAACGAACCAACAUGUAGCAUUCAAUGGUUAAGUUAGGAACAUUAUCAGCCUAUUUAGGACGUACAAUAAAAAUUUUGAAGACAUUGUAACAUAUUUGCUAAUAUGAUGUACUUGAAAUUUUUUAAAGAGAAGCUUUGCUUCUUGUAAUGGAGCACCUCAUCAUCUAGGUGACAGUAUGUUGAUAGGCUUUAACUGAACUGAGAAGAGAAAUUGAGGGUGGAAGUUUGAAAACAGGCAACGGUUUUGGAGUGACAUAUCAGAAACACUAAUGGAUUAUUAAACCUCUAACCGUGUGAGGUGAGGAAAGAUUUUAUUCAUAAAAUGAAAAAGAUACAUCUAGUCAAUAGGACUUACAAGCAUUACCCCUUGGGAUAUGGUAAAAUCUAGAAAAUGAUUUCAAAGGACCAGACCGAUUACUUAGUAAAAUAAGCUAUUCACAAGCCUGACUAAAUCUUCAAUUGACUAGAUCUUUAACAGUUGACACACUUUCUGCAUGGUUGGUCUAGAUUCAGGAUUCUCAUCUACGCAUGAAAUGGUGACUUCCACGAUUGAUAUCAAUUUGUCAUGAACAUUGCGCGAUGGAGUUGGAAGCCGAGGGUCCAACAUUUCAUCGAGUGCUAUGUUCAAGUUCAAAGAUGAAAAGGACAUUGAGGAAAUAAAAUCUCUUGGAUGCUUCCCCUUUAUCACUUCCAAUGCCAACACUCCAAAGCUGUACACAUCGCACUUUUCAGUAACUUUCAUUGUGUAUGCAAGUUCUGAAAGGGAAAAACAGAAAGAAUUAUAAUUAGAUUAUUAUUAUUUUUACACUGCACAAGCUUGAAUAAUAAUUUGCAUACCUGGUGCAACAUAUCCAUAUGUGCCUGCAAGUUCUGUCCAAUUAGAUGAGUCUGGCUUGAGAAACUUGGCAAUUCCAAAAUCCGAAACAUGGGCUUCAUUCUCAAAAUCUAACAACACAUUUUUGCUUGAUAUAUCUCGAUGAACAAUUGGUGGGAAACAAUCAUUGUGCAUGUAAGACAAUGCAUCAACUAUACCUUUUAUCAUAUUCAUUCUCCUUGUCCACCCCAAAUUCUUUGCUGCUGCAUCAUUGCUCAGGAUCACGGCCAAGCUACACAUUUUAAAGUAUUCAUAAACUAUAAACAAGUGCCGAACAUGUAAACAAAAGCCAUAAACUUUCACAAUGUUACGAUGCCAUAUUUCGGUCAAUGCCUUGACUUCAUUCAAGAAUUCUUGCUGAAAUGUCAUCUCACCUGGGAGUGGCGAAUGAAAUUUCUUGACUGCAAUGAUUUCUCCAGAAGCUAGCUUAGACAUGUAAACACUUCCUUGUCCGCCCUUUCCAAUGCAGUGCUCAUCAUCAAAGUCAUUUGUUGCUCUAAUAAUUUCUUCAUAGAUAAUUUUUCCUUCAAAAGUUAACACUGAAAGCAAACCCCGAGAAUUUCCAGGGCUACUCUGUUGUGUUUGUGAAUCAUUCUUUCUUCGUUGAAACUUGAAGAACAGUCCAAUCAAAGAAAUUAAAAGAGCAACAAACCCUAAGAGAGGGAAUACCACAACAACCCAGAUCGUUCUCAAAGCUUGUUUGUUUGACUUUAAUGCUUUGCAAGAUAGAAGUCCUUUGACAUCUCCAUAUAAUCCUUUGUUCCCUUGUAGUGCUUCUAUUGGAGCAUCCUUGAAUGUUGUGCUGUUAGGAAUUGAACCUCGUAACUCAUUGUAGGAUAUGUCAAUGUGUAGCAAGCCAUUCAUUUUUUCAAAGCAACUUGGAAUGAGACCUGAGAGGCUAUUGUGGGAAAGAUUCAGCUUCUCCAAACUUUGCAUAAUACAGAUUUGAGAUGGUAUUGCUUCUCUGAGAAAGUUACGACUUAAAUCCAACUCUGAAAGAUGAAUUAACUCCUAGAAUUUAAUUGGAAUUCCCUGACUGAACUAAUUAUUGCUCAAAUUUAAGUAAUGUAAUUUAACUAAGUUGCCAAGACUUUUUGGAAUUGAAUUGCUUAAUCUAUUUGAAGACAAGUCAAGGUGCUCGAGUUGAACGAGUGACCCGAGUUUUGGAGAUAGUUGUCCAGAAAGCUGAUUAUGAGCCAAAACGAGCUUGAUAAAAAAAUUAAGCUUGCCAAGUUCUAUUGGAAUCUCGCCAACAAUAUGAUUUGAUGAAAGAUCAAGAACUCCUAAUUGAGAUGAGUGUCCAAUUUCAGGAGGUACAUUGCCAGUAAUAUUAUUUAUAGAAAAAUCUAAAGUGCUUAACUUUGGGCAUCUUCCCCAAUCAGAUGAGAUUUCACCAUAAAAGUUAUUCUGGCUAAGAUCUAUGUAAGUUAAGUUUGGAUAAAUAUAAAAAGACUCAGAUAUAUUGCCGGUUAGAUAGUUUCUAUCGAGACGUACUCUUUCUAGGCUUGUCAAAUUUCUCAAAAUGGGAAUUGGACCUCGAAAUUGGUUAUGACCUAAUAGUAGUAUAGUCAACUUCACAAGGUUCCGGUAUUCAUAAGGAAUAGCACCAGAAAGUGAAUUCUCAAACAAAUUUAAGUAAGUCAAGUUGCUUAAAUUGCCCAUAGAAAUAGGGAUUGAGCCACUGAGUUUAUUGUACCCCAAACUAAGGUUGGAAAGAGACCUCAAGUUUCCCAAUUCACUUGGAAUUGAGUAAGAAAGUGAAUUGGUAUCAAGAUACAAGGUAGCUAAGUUGCUUAAAUUGCCCAAAGAUGGAGGGAUUGAUCCAUUGAAGUUAUUCUCACUCAAUUGUAGAUUUGAAAGAGACUUCAAGUUUCCUAUUUUACCUAGAAUUGAGGCAGAAAGUGAAUUGCUAUAAAUAUACAAGGUAGCCAAGUUGGUUAGGUUACCUAAAGAAUGAGGGAUUGAGCCACUGAGUAUAUUAUUGUUCAAUUGUAGAUUGGAAAGAGACCUCAAGUUUCCCAAUUCACUUGGAAUUGAGUUAGAAAGUGAAUUGGUAUCAAGAUACAAUGUAGCUAAGUUGCUUAAAUUGCCCAAAGAUGGAGGGAUUGAGCCACUGAGUUUAUUAUUACUCAAUUCUAGAUCAGAAAAAAACCUAAAGUUUCCUAUUUCACCUGGAAUUGAGCCAGAAAGUGAAUUGGUAUGAAUAUACAAGGUAGCCAAGUUGGUUAGGUUACCUAAAGAAUGAGGGAUUGAGCCACUGAGUUUAUUAUUGCCUAAUUCUAGAUCGGAAAGAGAUUUCAAGUUUCUCAAUUCACUUGGAAUUGAGUCAUAAAGUGAAUUGUUGUAAAUACAAGGUAGCUAAGUUGCUCAAAUUGCCCAAAGAUUGAGGAAUUGACCCACUAAGUUUAUUAUUAGUUAAUGCUAGAUCAGAAAGAGACUUCAAGUUUCUUAUUUCACCUUAAAUUGAGGCAGAAAGUGAAUUGCUAUAAAUAUACAAGGUAGCCAAGUUGGUUAGGUUACCUAAAGAAUGAGGGAUUGAGCCACUGAGUUUAUUAUUGUUCAAUUGGUAUCGGAAAGAGACCUCAAGUUUCCCAAUUCACUUGGAAUUAAGUCAGAAAGUGAAUUGUUAUCAAGAUACAAGGUAGCUAAAUUGCUCAAAUUGCCCAAAGAUGGAGGGAUUAAGCCACUGAGUUUAUUAUUGCUCAAUUCUAAAUCAGAAAGAAACCUCAAGUUUCCUAUUUCACCUAGAAUUGAGCCAGAAAGUGAAUUGGUAUGAAUAUAUAAGGUAGCCAAGUUGGUUAGGUUACCUAAAGAAUGAGGGAUUGAGCCACUGAGUUUAUUAUUGCCUAAUUCUAGAUCGGAAAGAGAUUUCAAGUUUCUCAAUUCACUUGGAAUUGAGUCAUAAAGUGAAUUGUUGUAAAUACAAGGUAGCUAAGUGUUAACAUAAAUAUGUUAAUAAUAUUGAUUUUGAUGAUAACAAAUUUUAAAUGAUCUUUGAUAAAAGUAUUGGAGCUAUUUCUUAAUAAACGAGAGCCUUAGUAAUCAUUCCAUUCAUGCUUCAUAAAAGAUGGACUUUAAAAUUAGAAAAAGAUUCUCUGCAAAAAAACUGGUUUAAAAUGCAAUUCUGGUUAUAAACGGUGAACCGUUUAUUUAAACGGUUAACCGAUAACAGCCAGAGAGCAACAUAUUUCCUAAACCUCUAACCGUUUAUGAAAAACGGAAAACACAAAAGAUGGGAAGGUUACUGGAACUUAACGGUGAACCGUUUAUUGUAAACGGUUAACCGAUUAUCACCAGAGAGCAACAUAUUACCUAAGCUCUAACCGUUUAUGCUUAAUGGAAAACACCCAAGAUGGGAAGGCUACUGGAACCUAACGGUGAACCGUUUAUUUUAAACGGUUAACCGAUAACUUCCAGAAUUGAAGAUUGUCCUCCUCUGGCACUGAUUAACGAAAACUGAUAAGGCUAAAUUGUUUUGCAGGUUACUGGAGACAAACGGCGAACCGUUUAUAUAAAACGGUUAACCGAUAAUGUCCAGAGAAGCCACUUCACGCAAGUCCUUAACCGUUUAGUGUAAACAGAUAACAAAUACUCAUUUUGCAGGUCUCUGGAAGUUAACGGCGAAAAGGCAACCAUAAACGGCAAACCGUUUAUUUGAAAUCUGGCCCAACGGUUAUUUUGACCAGCCUAAACGGUUAACCGUUUAUGGUUAACGGCGAACCGUUUUCUGUCCGACAGUUUGUAACGGCUAGAUUUUCGGCUCCAAAUAUAAAUAAGCUCAUUCAAAUUCAAAGAAGAUUGAUCACAACACGACCAUUUGAGCUAAUAUUCGAGAAUACAAUCUUCAUAGAGCUUAGAACACAUUCUUGCUUCAUCUAUUCACAUAUUAAGCAUAAUUGUGUAAUCUUAUAUAUUGUGAGAGGCAAAACAGUUUGUAAUCCUUUAUUUUGAGUGAUUGUAAGUGUUGGGAUACACUUGGGUUAAGAGAUUGGGGAUAAUCUCUUGUUGUAAAGGUCCAUUGACACCUUGGAAGUCAAGUGUAAGCAUUUGAAGCCUUGGAGGCUUGCUUAGUGGAAUCCUCAAGCCCGGAAAGCUUGGAGGCGUGGACGUAGGCGAGGUUGGCCGAACCACGUAAAAAUCUCGGUGUUUGAAUCCCUCUUCCCUUAUCUUUUUAUAUUGUGGUUCUCUUAAUUGUUAUUGCUUUGAAUUUGAUUUAUAAUUGCAUUAAGAUUUUCUUUAAUAAAUUGAAUAAUUUUUUAGAAUCCCAAUUCACCCCCCCUCUUGGGUUGCAUACUUGUAUUUCAAUUGGUAUCAGAGCCUCGUUCUCUUGUUAAGACUUAAUCGUCUAGAGUAAAAGAUCCAUGGCAACCCUAAAUGACUCAACCUUUAGAGAAGGGCAAUCCACAACUAGACCACCAUUUUUCGAUGGUAAUGACUAUGCUUAUUGGAAAACUAGAAUGAGAAUUUAUUUGCAAGCCUUAGAUUAUGAAAUUUGGGAAGUUGUUUGUGAUGGUCCAUUCAUGCCUACGUUCAAAGAUGAAGUAGGAGAUGAUAUUCCUAAACCAUCGAGUCAAUGGAGUGAGUUAGAAAAGAGAAAGAUGUCUCUAAACUCCAAGGCUAUGAAUGCUUUGUUUUGUGCUCUUGAUAAGAAAGAAUUCCAUAGAGUAUCUAGUUGUGAAAGUGCACAAGAGAUAUGGAACAAACUUGAAGUUGUCUAUGAAGGGACAAAUCAAGUGAAAGAGUCUAAAAUCAGUAGAUACACUCGUCAAUAUGAGUUGUUCCAAAUGGAACAAAAUGAAAAUGUGUAUUCUAUGUAUACUAGAUUCACGGACAUAGUGAACACCCUAGGUGCCUUAGGGAAAACCUUCUCAAAUAGUGAGAAAGUUAAGAAAAUCAUUAGGUCUCUUCCAAAAGAAUGGAGACCUAAAAGAACCGCUAUUGAAGAGGCCAAAGAUUUAAAUACUUUACCUCUUGAUGAUUUAAUUAGUUCUCUUAUUUCGUAUGAAGAGGAUUUAGCUGCAGAAAGAGGACAUGAGGAGAAGAAGAAAAGCAUUGCUCUCAAAGCUUCAAAAUAUGAGAGUGAUGAGGAGAGUGAACCGGAUGAUGAAGAACUAGCCAUGCUAGCAAGGAGGUUCAGAAAAUUCUUCAAGAAAACCGGAGAGCGAAGAAAUUUCAGAAACUUCAAGAACUAUAGGGAGAAGAAGGAGGCAAUCACUUGCUAUGAAUGCAAGAAGCCUGGACAUAUAAGAUCGGAGUGCCCACUUAUCAACAAACUCAAGAAGAAAGCAAUGGUUGCAACUUGGGAUGAUAGUGAGGAAGAAUCAAAUGAUGAAGAAGGAUCGCAAGAAGUAUCAAACCUAGCACUCAUGGCAAUAGGAGGAGAUGAUGAUCUCAAUGAGGUAAGUGAUCCUACCUAUGAUGAAUUAUAUGAUGCUUUUCAAGAUUUGCAUAAUGAGUUGAUGAAAAUUGGUAAAAAGAAUGUAUGUCUUAAAAAGGAAAUGGCAAAGCUUAAAAAUGAAAAUGAAUCUCUAAAUGCAAGAAUUGUAUGCCUAGAAGUAGGAAACAAAACAUUGCAUGAUGAAAUUGCAUUAUCAAAUGAGAAACCUAGCAUCUUACAUGAGCAUUUGAAAUCACACAUAGAUGAGUUGAAAAAUGAGAACGAAUUGCUCAAGAAAAAGAAUAAUGAAUUAAAUGAAAUUGUUUUGAAAUUUACAAAUGGGCAAAAGAUGUUGGAUAAUAUGCUUAACUCACAAAAAUGUGUUUUUGAUAAAGGAGGACUUGGAUAUAAGCCAAAUUUGAAGCAAAAGUAUUAUAAGAAUUAUUUUGUUAAAGCUACCUCCACAAAUGAUCAUAAGAUUGUAUGUCAUUAUUGUAAUCAAAAUGGUCACAUGAAAUUUAAAUGUCCCGUGAAAAGGAAUGCAUAUUAUGGUGUCAAGUGCAUUUAGGUUCCAAAAGGAACCGUUGCUAACUCUCAAGGACCCAAAAAACUUUGGGUACCUAAAACUUGAGACUUUUUCUUGUAGGGCUUGAAGAAGAAGAAGAAUAAAUGGUACUUGGACAGCGGUUGUUCAAGGCACAUGACCGGAAACUAUGCAUGGUUCUCAAGCUUUACCAAAAUUGAAAAUGGUGGAGACGUAUCCUUUGGAGACAACUCAAAAGGAAAAAUCCUUGGAAUUGGAAAUGUUGGUAAAGUUUCUUCAACUCUAAUUGAGAAUGUAUGUUUGGUUGAAAACUUGAAACACAACUUAAUUAGCAUUAGUCAAUUAUGUGACAAAUGUUAUAAAGUUAUCUUUGAUAAAUUUAGUUGUGUUAUUGAGAACUCAUGUGAUGGCAAAACCUUAUUUGUUGGAAAUAGAUGUGGUAAUGUUUAUAUCAUUGACAUAGAAUGUGCAUCUACUCUUGAUAAAUGUUUUUCGGCAUUGCAUGAUGAUUGUUGGUUGUGGCAUAGAAGGUUAGGACAUGCAAGUAUGGAUUUGAUUUCAAAAAUUUCGAAAGAUGAUUUAGUUAAAGGUCUUCCGAAAAUUGGUUUUCAAAAGGAUAAGAUUUGUGAAGCUUGUCAAUUUGGAAAACAAAUUAAAACUUCUUUCAAGAAUAAAAACCAUAUUUCUACUUCAAAACCACUUGAACUUCUUCACAUAGAUCUUUUUGGGCCAUCUAGAUAUGCAAGUCUAAAUGGCAAAUAUUAUGCUUUUGUGAUAGUGGAUGAUUAUUCUAGAUAUACAUGGGUAUUAUUCUUAGCCAAUAAGGAUGAUGCUCUUGAUGCAUUUAAAGUGCUUUGUAAGAAAUUACAAAAUGAAAAAGGGCAUGGUAUUGUAUGCAUUAGGAGUGAUCAUGGAGGAGAAUUUGAAAAUCAUGCAUUUGAGAGUUUUUGCAAUAAUCUAGGCAUUGAGCAUCAAUUUUCUUCACCUAGAACUCCACAACAAAAUGGAGUUGUUGAGAGAAAGAAUAGGUCUAUUCAAGAAAUGGCUAGGACCAUGUUAAAUGAAAAUGCAUUACCAAAAUAUUUUUGGGCCGAAGCCGUCAACACCGCUUGUUAUGUUUUAAAUCGGGUGUUGAUUAGACCUAAUCUUAAUAAAACUCCAUAUGAGCUUUGGAAAGAUAGAAAACCCAACAUUGGCUAUUUUAAAGUUUUUGGAUGCAAAUGUUUUGUAUUGAACACAAAAGACAAUCUUGGUAAAUUUGAUUCAAAAUCCGAUGUUGGUAUUUUUCUUGGUUAUUCAAAUUCAAGCAAAGCUUAUAGAGUUUAUAACAAAAGAACUUUAGUUGUGGAAGAAUCUAUGCAUGUCACAUUUGAUGAAUCUAACCCCUCCUCUACGGAGAAAGUCGUUGUUGAUGAUGAUGCAGGAGAAGAAGAACAAGAAGAAGAAGCAUCAAAUGACAAUCAAGAGGAUGCACCACAUGGAAUUCAAGAGGAACAUCAUGAAGAACCAAAUGUGGAGCAAAAUGAAGGUACUUCUCAAACACUCCCCAAGGAGUGGAGGUAUGUCUCUUCUCACCCUAAAGAUGUAAUUUUAGGAGAUCCCUCACGAGGUAUAACAACUAGAUCAUCACUUAGAAAUACUUGUGAGCAUAAUGCAUUCAUCUCUCAAAUUGAACCAAAAUCCUUUGAGGAUGCAGAAAAUGAUGAAUCUUGGAUUAUGGCAAUGCAAGAGGAGUUAAAUCAAUUUGAAAGAAACAAUGUGUGGGAACUAGUUCCUAAACCUGAACAUCUAUCUAUAAUAGGUACUAAAUGGGUGUUUAGAAAUAAGAUGGAUGAAUCCGGUGUGGUUGUAAGAAACAAAGCUAGAUUAGUGGCUCAAGGUUACAACCAAGAGGAAGGAAUUGAUUUUGAUGAAACAUUUGCACCUGUAGCAAGGUUAGAAUCCAUUAGGAUGUUGUUAGCAUAUGCAUGUCAUAAGGAUUUUAUUUUAUAUCAAAUGGAUGUCAAGAGUGCUUUCUUAAAUGGAUAUAUUUUGGAGGAAGUUUAUGUGAAACAACCUCCUGGUUUUGAAAAUGAAAAAUUUCCAAAUCAUGUGUAUAAGUUGCUCAAAGCCUUGUAUGGAUUAAAACAAGCACCUAGAGCAUGGUAUGAUAGACUUAAAAAUUUAUUGCUAGAAAAUGACUUCUCUAUGGGUAAAGCGGAUACUACUCUUUUUGUUAAGCAUAAGAACCAAGACAUACUUAUUGUUCAAAUUUAUGUUGAUGAUAUCAUUUUUGGUUCUACUAAUGAGUUGUUGUGUAAAGAAUUUUCAUUGUGUAUGAGCAAAGAAUUUGAGAUGAGUAUGAUGGGAGAGUUGAAAUACUUCCUUGGACUUCAAAUCAAACAAAGCGAGGAAGGAAUUUUCAUAAAUCAAGCCAAGUACGUAAAGGAUCUACUCAAACGAUUCGGCAUUGAUGAUUCAAAGACCAAGAAUACACCAAUGAGCACAACAACCAAGCUGGACAAAGAUGAAAAAGGUAAAGAAGUGGAUAUCAAAAUGUAUCGAGGUAUGAUCGGAUCCCUACUUUAUUUGACUGCAAGUAGACCCGAUAUCAUGUUUAGUGUAUGUUUGUGUGCAAGAUUUCAGUCAUGUCCCAAGGAAUCUCAUUUGCUCGCUGUUAAAAGAAUUUUCCGUUAUUUGAGUGGAACCAUAGAUAUUGGCCUUUGGUAUCCUAGGGGAACUCAUAUAGAUUUAACAUGUUUUUCGGAUGCGGAUUUUGCUGGUUAUAAAGUGGAUAGGAAGAGCACUAGUGGAACUUGCUAUAUUCUAGGACACUCUCUUGUUUCAUGGUUUAGCAAGAAACAAAAUUCUGUUGCACUUUCAACUACCGAGGCUGAAUAUAUAGCUGCCGGAAGUUGUUGUGCACAAGCACUUUGGAUGAAACAAACACUUAGAGAUUAUGGCAUUAAUCUUGAACAAAUUCCUAUUAAGUGUGAUAAUACUAGUGCUAUAAACCUUUCAAAGAAUCCCAUUCAACAUUCUCGAACCAAGCAUAUAGAAAUAAGACAUCAUUUCUUGAGAGAUCAUGUUCAAAAGGGAGAUAUUGCAUUAGAGUUUAUUUCCACGGAAAAACAACUUGCCGAUAUUUUCACAAAACCGCUUUGCGAAGAACAAUUUUCAAAAAUUCGGCAUGAACUUGGGAUGAUGAAAUUUUUGCAUUAACAUCUCUAUUCAUGCUAUUGAGUGUACUGAAUUGAUUGAUUACUAUUUAUGAAAUGCUUGAGCUUGGUAGACAAAUGAUGAAUUUGCAUUAAUAACUCUUGAUUGUAUGAAUUGAUUGGUUGAAAACAUGUCCAUGAAUCAUGCAUUAAAUUGGCUCAUAAAAUAUUUUCAGAUCAAUUAAAUGAUCUUAGAAUAUAUUAUUUGCUGGCCAAAAAUUAAAUCAAAUGUGCGAAAUUACAGAUUGAAUAAACGGUUAGCCGUUCCUAUAAACGGAUCACCGUUUAAUUCCAGAAACGAGAUUAUGUGUCUGCCCGUUUACCCUUUCACCGUUUGCCACAAUCGGUGAACCGUUUUUCAACAGAGAGUCCUCUAACAGUUACUCCUUAGCCGUUAAGCGCUUAGGCUUUCACCGUUUCCCUUUCUUCAGCCUCUGGACGUUACCCUUUAACCGUUUCAAUAAACGGUUAACCGUUUUCUCGAAGUAUAUAAACUGUUUAAAGGUUUUCUUCUCCUUCUCCAGUUACCCUUUCACCGUUUCCACCAUUGUUGCGCAGCCGAAGGUUUCUCUGUCCUCAAAUCCUCAUUUUUCUUGCUUUCCUUGCCAAAUCAAACCUUCAAAAUCAUUUCUUAUCACCUUUAGAACAUUUCUACCGAUUCAAAACUUCAAAUCGAACCCAAAUUUCAAAAAUCCCAAAUCUAAACCCUAACUGUCGCGGGUCGGGUUUCUUUGUCCUUAAUCCGAUUUCCACCUUUCUUCAACCAAAUUAAACAUCCUAAUCACAUCUUCUACUCCUCAUUACGUGUUUCCAUGGCUGAACCUCCUCGGAGAAAUCUCAGACGUAAAUCUGUGCCUCCAAGGAACCCCAUACCACCUCGAGAGGUCUCUGAAUUUUCAAGGAUUCACUUUCCCACACCUGCCUUGGCUAAGCGGUUCGAAGAUCGCUUUGAUGGUCGAAAGGUACUUGACUCCUUCUUUGUUGACAUUGAUGAAUUCCAUAAUUUGGUUGUAUGUGGUAGAAGUAUUCGGGAUAUGCUUCGGCCUUGGGAGUCUGGCAUUGAUUUUGAUGACCGAGUUUAUCCAAACUUAGUGCGAGUCUUUUAUUCGAACAUGGAUAUCUCCAAUACUCGUCCAAAUAGGAUAGUCACUUAAGUCGGCCGUGUACCCAUAGAAUUUGAUGAUGCGGACUUAGCUGACUUUCUAGGUAUCUCUUGUGAGGGGAUUGACAUCUACACCUCUAGGAAAACCCUCUCCUUUGAUACUUUUUCUCAUACUCACGGCGUCCGUAAUAUAUGUCGUCGUCGAGACUUAUCGGAUGAUAUCUGUCAGCUUCCAUUUCGGUCUCAACUUUUACCGCUCCAAGUUCGUAUUCUUCACUCUAUUCUACAGCACAUAGUGACUCCUAGGAAGGGUCACUCGGAUGAGGUUACGAGGUUAGACGUCGCCUUAUUGGAUAGCCUUCUUACAGACCGUCCCAUUAACCUCGGGUAUAUUAUUGUGCGACAUAUGCUGAGUACUCCAGUGGUCAACCACCGCUUGCUUCCCUACGGCAGUAUCAUCACUAAAAUACUGCGACGCUUUGAGGUGCCACUUCUUGAUACUGGACAUAUGGAGACUCGACGGAUUGGUUCCGAGGCAGUAACCAGUAUCGAAUUCUCUAGAAAGAAUGGAGUGUGGAUAAAGACAAGCAACUCCAAAAACCGGGAUACCUUGAUUGCUCCAGAGGACGAUCGGAUGCUCAAUGAUGUCUAUCGUCCCAACCAGCUUCCUGACUUUAGACUAGGCGCUCAUCCUCAUCCUCCGCGUCGCCGUUUUGUUCCUCAGCCUCCAGCUGACUCAGACUCUGAGGAGCGUGCGAUGGAUGCUGAUAUUCCCUCCUCUUCCGAGCCGCCUCCUGCUCCUGAGCCUUCUGCUGUUCCCGAGCAGCCAUCUGCCUCUAUGCCGCCUCCAGCUCCAGUUCAGCCCCCUGCUUCAGAUGCAGUGCAGCAGCUGAUCACUGAUGUUCAGCGGAUUUCGGAGCGCCAGCAGCUGAUUCUUGAUCGGUUGGACACUCUUUCCCAUGACCACCAGCAGCUGCGUUCUGACUUUCAGAUAUUCCAGCGGCAGAGCCUUGAUCAGCAGAUGGAGCUUAUCGCUGGACAGCGCACUAUUCUCGGCUAUUUCGGCUAUGAUCCAGGGAGCACAUCUUCUCCGCCUCCGUAGUUUCUGAGCUUUGUCUUCGCACAUACAUUUUACAUUUUGGUUGCUAGCAUUUUUAUUAUUAUUUUGAUUUUGAUGCAUAUGUGUGUGAUGUUCUUGAUGAUUAGCUUAUUGAUGCUUUGUGAUUGCCUAAUUGGUUGGAUUUUGUAGAAAUGGUUUAUUUGUGGAUAUUGGAGUGUUGGUAUAUUUGUGGAUAUUGAAGUGUUAUUUUGUCUUGUUCAUGGAGUUGUUGGCUUGUUGAAAGCAGAAGUUAAUGUUGUUCUAAUUUUGGAAGUGUUUUAUCUCAUUGUGUAUUUAUGGUUUUACUCAUUUUUAAGGGGAAACUCUGCCAAAAUUUUUUUUUCGCUUGCCAAAACCGGGCACUUUCUUUCAUGGAUUUGCGUAUUUCUUAUUUCCUCUUUUCUUUUUGAUGAUGAAGGGGGAGAUAAUUAAAGUUUUUAAGAUGGUUUUUAAAUGGGGAGAUAUUGUUUUAAGAUGAUUUUUAAAUGGGGAGAUAUUUGUUUUAAGAUGGAUUUAAAAUGGGGCAAUUUAAAGCAAAAAUCCUUUUAUUCACAUUUCUCAAUUUGGCCAUACAUUUAGGGGGAGCACAUAUUAAGGGGGAGCUAAACAUUGAUUAGAAUUUUUCAUCAUCAAAAAGGGGGAGAUUGUUAACAUAAAUAUGUUAAUAAUAUUGAUUUUGAUGAUAACAAAUUUUAAAUGAUCUUUGAUAAAAGUAUUGGAGCUAUUUCUUAAUAAACGAGAGCCUUAGUAAUCAUUCCAUUCAUGCUUCAUAAAAGAUGGACUUUAAAAUUAGAAAAAGAUUCUCUGCAAAAAAACUGGUUUAAAAUGCAAUUCUGGUUAUAAACGGUGAAUCGUUUAUUUAAACGGUUAACCGAUAACAGCCAGAGAGCAACAUAUUUCCUAAACCUCUAACCGUUUAUGAAAAACGGAAAACACAAAAGAUGGGAAGGUUACUGGAACUUAACAGUGAACCGUUUAUUGUAAACGGUUAACCGAUUAUCACCAGAGAGCAACAUAUUACCUAAGCUCUAACCGUUUAUGCUUAACGGAAAACACCCAAGAUGGGAAGGCUACUGGAACCUAACGGUGAACCGUUUAUUUUAAACGGUUAACCGAUAACUUCCAGAAUUGAAGAUUGUCCUCCUCUGGCACUGAUUAACGAAACCUGAUAAGGCUAAAUUGUUUUGCAGGUUACUGGAGACAAACGGCGAACCGUUUAUAUAAAACGGUUAACCGAUAAUGUCCAGAGAAGCCACUUCACGCAAGUCCUUAACCGUUUAGUGUAAACAGAUAACAAAUACUCAUUUUGCAGGUCUCUGGAAGUUAACGGCGAAAGGGCAACCAUAAACGGCAAACCGUUUAUUUGAAAUCUGGCCCAACGGUUAUUUUGACCAGCCUAAACGGUUAACCGUUUAUGGUUAACGGCGAACCGUUUUCUGUCCGACAGUUUGUAACGGCUAGAUUUUCGGCUCCAAAUAUAAAUAAGCUCAUUCAAAUUCAAAGAAGAUUGAUCACAACACGACCAUUUGAGCUAAUAUUCGAGAAUACAAUCUUCAUAGAGCUUAGAACACAUUCUUGCUUCAUCUAUUCACAUAUUAAGCAUCAUUGUGUAAUCUUAUAUAUUGUGAGAGGCAAAACAGUUUGUAAUCCUUUAUUUUGAGUGAUUGUAAGUGUUGGGAUACACUUGGGUUAAGAGAUUGGGGAUAAUCUCUUGUUGUAAAGGUCCAUUGACACCUUGGAAGUCAAGUGUAAGCAUUUGAAGCCUUGGAGGCUUGCUUAGUGGAAUCCUCAAGCCCGGAAAGCUUGGAGGCGUGGACGUAGGCGAGGUUGGCCGAACCACGUAAAAAUCUCGGUGUUUGAAUCCCUCUUCCCUUAUCUUUUUAUAUUGUGGUUCUCUUAAUUGUUAUUGCUUUGAAUUUGAUUUAUAAUUGCAUUAAGAUUUUCUUUAAUAAAUUGAAUAAUUUUUUAGAAUCCCAAUUCACCCCCCCUCUUGGGUUGCAUACUUGUAUUUCACUAAGUUGCUCAAAUUGCCCAAAGAUGGAGGAAUUGACCCACUAAGUUUAUUAUUAGUUAAUGCUAGAUUAGAAAGAGACUUCAAGUUUCUUAUUUCACCUUGAAUUGAGGCAGAAAGUGAAUUGCUAUAAAUAUACAAGGUAGCCAAGUUGGUUAGGUUACCUAAAGAAUGAGGGAUUGAGCCACUGAGUUUAUUAUUGUUCAAUUGGUAUCGGAAAGAGACCUCAAGUUUCCCAAUUCACUUGGAAUUAAGUCAGAAAGUGAAUUGUUAUCAAGAUACAAGGUAGCUAAAUUGCUCAAAUUGCCCAAAGAUGGAGGGAUUAAGCCACUGAGUUUAUUAUUGCUCAAUUCUAAAUCAGAAAGAAACCUCAAGUUUCCUAUUUCACCUAGAAUUGAGCCAGAAAGUGAAUUGGUAUGAAUAUACAAGGUAGCCAAGUUGGUUAGGUUACCUAAAGAAUGAGGGAUUGAGCCACUGAGUUUAUUGUACCCCAAACUAAGUGUGGAAAGUGACCUCAAGUUUCCCAAUUCACUAGGAAUUGAGUCAGAAAGUGAAUUGUGAUAAAGAUACAAGGUAGCUCAGUUGUUCAAAUUGCCCAAAGAUGGAGGGAUUAAAUCUUCUAAAUAAAUUGAGUACAAAGCAAGGUAGUUUAGAGAACUUAAUCUGCCUAUUUCAUAAGGAAUUGAGCCAUUUAUUUGAUUCUCGAACAACUGAAGGGUCUCGAGAUAACUUAGGUGGCCAAUUUGUGGUGGUAUGGUACCAGAAAACAAAUUGGAUGAUAAAUCAAGGUACUUGAGUCUUGAAAUGUUACCAAUUUAAGGCGAGAUGUUUCCAUAGAGUUGAUUACGCCAAAGAUCAAGAUACACCAUAUGAGGAAACGAUGAGAAUGAGAAAUCAUGAAGCAUACCUUUUAAACCUAUACUUGUGAGGUUAAUACUAUCGACUCUUCCACCACGGUUGCAAUGAAUUCCAACCCAAGCAAAUGGGCUUGUUUUGGUGACAUUGUUAAGAGUCCAUGAAGACAGGAGAGAUCCAUUAUUAUGAUUUUGAAGGCUAGUUUUCCAUCUAAGAAGUGCGUGGGCUUCUUCCAUAUAAUAAGAAGAACAACCAGUGGAAAAUUUAAAACACAAAAUAUGAUAAAAAAAAUGAGUGAGAAAAUUACUAAAUUAUUUUUCAAGUUUGGUGACAUCAUUACGUAAUGGACGAUCAACCGAGACUUGAUAAUCAUAGAAACAGUAGAGAAAAGUGAAAGAUGAGAACAACAAGAAACUAAGAUUAGCUAGCCAAGGCAGAUAGAAAUAAACAUCUAGGAAUGAUGUAUGCACAAAGAAACACAUUGCAAGGCAAAUUUAUAAAAUGAAUGACGUGAGGCAACAAGUCAAUGCGCCAACCGCUCUAAGGUAGACUAGUUGUUGUUAGGGAAAAAAUUUGGUUUUCAUUAAUUUUGUUAGUUAUCUGUCAAUUGAGGCCUUAUUAACUCUUUGUGUGUAUGUAUAUAUGUUAUUUUUUUUGUAGGGGAUUUUAAAGUUUAGAAAAUUCUAAAAAAUCUUUAAAACCUCAUGCUUUUAAAUUUUACUAGAUUUUCCCCGAAUUUUAAACACCUGAAAUAAAAAUUUUCUGUAUAUAUAUAUACAUAUAUAUAUACAUAUACAUAUACAUAUAUAUAUACAUAUAUAUAUAUACAUAUAUAUUUUUGGAAGUGAGUGAUGCUUUUAAAAUUCCUGGAGCAACACAAGAUACUUUAAGACAAAGGCUUUUUCCUUACUCCUUAAGAGAUCGAGCAAGAGUAUGGUUGAACUCAUUACCAUUUGAUUCCAUCACUACAUGGAAUAAAUUGGCUGACAAAUUUUUAAUGAAAUAUUUUCCACCAACCAAGAAUGCAAAAUUGCGGAAUGAGAUCACUUAUUUUCAUCAACUUGAAGAUGAAAGUUUGUAUGAAGCUUAGGAGAGAUUUAAAGAGCUGCUCAGAAGGUGUCCUCAUCAUGGCAUUCCUUGUUGCAUACAGUUGGAAACCUUUUACAAUGGGUUAAAUCCAAGUACGAUAUUGAUAGUUGAUGCUUCAGCAAAUGGAGUUCUGUUAUCCAAAUCUUACACUGAAGCUUAUAAAAUUUUAGAGAGAUUGCCAACAAUAAUUAUCAGUGGCCAUGAACUAGACAAACGGUAGCAAGAGGAGCAGCAUGAGUACAUAAUAUAGAUGCAAUUACAACAUUGUCAGCUCAGGUAACUUCAUUGACUAACAUGGUGAAAGCCAUGACUUCUGCUCAUACAGCAGUAAAGCAAGUUGCUGAACUAUCUUGCGUAUAUUAUGGUGAGGAGCAUGUAUUUGACAACUGUCUAGGAAAUCCAGCAUCAGUAAACUAUGUGGGCAACUUCAAUCGACAGCCUCAGAACAACCCAUACUCAAAUACUUACAAUCCUGGAUGGAAGCAACACCCAAAUUUCUCAUGGAGUAAUCAAAAUCAGCAUGCUCCAGUACCGAAUGGACAAAACAGACAAACUCAACCACCUGGUUUUCAUCAGCAGAAUCAAGGGCAAAAACACACUAGCAAUGAUCCACUUACUUUAUUGGAAACACUGAUUAAGGAAUACAUUGUGAAGAAUGAAAUACAAGUAUGCAACCCAAGAGGGGGGGGUGAAUUGGAUUAUAAAAAUUAUUCAAUUUAUUAAAGAAAAUCUUAAUGCAAUUAUAAAUCAAAUUCAAAGCAAUAACAAUUAAGAUGAUCACAAUAUAAAAAGAUAAGGGAAGAGGGAUUCAAACACCGAGAUUUUUACGUGGUUCGGCCAACCUCGCCUACGUCCACGCCUCCAAGCUUUCCGGGCUUGAGGAUUCCACUAAGCAAGCCUCCAAGGCUUCAAAUGCUUACACUUGACUUCCAAGGUGUCAAUGGACCUUUACAACAAGAGAUUAUCCCCAAUCUCUUAACCCAAGUGUAUCCCAACACUUACAAUCACUCAAAAUAAAAGAUUACAAACUGUUUUGCCUCUCACAAUAUAUAAGAUUACACAAUGAUGCUUAAUAUGUGAAUAGAUGAAGCAAGAAUGUGUUCUAAGCUCUAUGAAGAUUGUAUUCUCGAAUAUUAGCUCAAAUGGUCGUGUUGUGAUCAGCCUUCUUUGAAUUUGAAUGAGCUUAUUUAUAUUUGGAGCCGAAAAUCUAGCCGUUACAAACUGUCGGACAGAAAACAGUUUGCCGUUAACCAUUAACGGUUAACCAUUUAGGCUGGUCAAAGUUACCGUUGGGCCAGAUUUCAAAUAAACGGUUUGCCGUUUAGGGUUGCCCUUUCGCCGUUAAAUUCCAGAGACCUGCAAAAUGAACAUCAGUUAAUCCGUUUUCAUUUAGCGGUUAAGGGAUUGCAUAAAGUGGCUUCUCUGGGUAUUAUCGGUUGACCGUUUAAAAACAAACGGUUUGCCGUUUGGCGCCAGUAACCUGCACAACAAUUUAGCCUUAUCAGUUUUCGUUAAUCAAUGCCAGAGGAGGACAACCUUCAAUUCUGGACGUUAUCGGUUAACCGUUUAAAAAUAAACGGUUCACCGUUAGUUUUCAGUAGCCUUCCCACCAUGGGUGUUUUCCAUUAAGCAUAAACGGCUAGAGAUUAGGCAAAUAUGUUGCUCUCUGGUGAUAAUCGGUUAACCGUUUAAAAGCAAACGGUUUACCGUUAAUUUCCAGUAACCUCCCUAUCUAUUGUGUUUUCCGUUUUCCAUAAACGGUUAGAGGUUUAGGAAAUGUGUUACUCUCUGCCUUUAAUCGGUUAACCGUUUAAAAUAAACGGUUCACCGUUUAUGACCAGAAUUGCAAUUUUAAACAAGUUUUUGCAGAGAAUUUCUUUCUAAUUUGAAAAUCCAUCUUUUAUGAAGAAAUAAGGCAAUGAUUAAAAGGGCUUUCGUUUAUUAAGAAAUAGCUCUAAUAUUUUUGUCAAAAACCAUAUAAAAUUUGUUAUCAUCAAAAUCAAUAUUAUUAACAUAUUCAUGUUAACAAUCUCCCCCUUUUUGAUGAUGACAAAUUUCAUUCAAUGUUUAGCUCCCCCUUAAUAUGUGCUCCCCCUACAUGUAUGGCCAAAUUGAGAAAUGUGAAUAAAAGGAUUUUUGCUUUAAAACUUCCCAUUUUAAAUCCAUCUUAAAAUAAAAUCUCCCUAUUUAAAAAAAAACCAUCUUACCAUCUUAAAAACCAUAAUUAUCUCCCCCUUCAUCAUCAAAAAGAAAAGAGGAAAUAAGAAAUACACAAAGCCGGUUUUGGCAAGCGAAAAUUUUGGCAGAGUUUCCCCUUAAAAAUGAGCAAAACCAAUUAUACAAAAUGAGAUAGAACACUUCCAAAAAUAUAUGAACAUCAACUUCUUCUUGCAACAAGCCAACAACUCCAUAAACACAUCAAAAGAACACUUCAAGAACCACAAACAUACCAAUACUCCAAUAGCCACAAUUAAACCACAUUUACAAUAUCCAACCAAUUAGGCAAUCACAAAGCAUCAAUAAUCGAAUCAUCAAGAACAUCACACACAUAUGCAUCAAAAUCAAAAUAAUAAUAAAAAUACUAGCAAUCAAAAUGUAAAAUGUAUGUGCGAAGACAAAGCUCAAAAACUACGGAGGCGGAGAAGAUGUGCUCCCCGGAUCAUAGCCGAGAAUAGUGCGCUGUCCAGCGAUAAGCUCCAGCUGCUGAUCAAGGCUCUGCCGCUGGAAUAUCUGAAAGUCAGAACGCAGCUGCUGGUGGUCACGGGAAAGAGUGUCCAACCGAUCAAGAAUCAGCUGCUGGCGCUCCGAAAUCCGCUGAACAUCAGUGAUCAGCUGCUGCAUUGCGUCUGAAGCAGGGGGCUGAACUGGAGCUGGAGGCGGCAUAGAGGCAGAUGGCUGCUCGGGAACAACAGAAGGCUCAGGAGCAGGAGGCAGCUCGGAAGAGGAGGGAAUGUCAGUAUCUAUCGCAUGCUCCUCAGGGACAGAAUCAGCAGGAGGCCGAGAUACAAAAUGGCGACGCAGAGGAUGAGGAAGAGCUCCUAAUCUAAAGUCAGGAAGCUGAUCGGGAGGAUAGAUAUCAUUGAGCAUCCGAUCGUCCUCUGCGGCAAUCAAGGUAUCCCGGUUUUUGGAGUUGCUUGUCUUUAUCCACACUCCAUUCUUCCUAGAGAAUCCGAUACUGGUCACGGCCUCGGGACCAAUCCGUCGAGUCUCCAUAUGACCGGUAUCAAGAAGUGGCACCUCAAAGCGUCGUAGUAUUUUAGUGAUGAUACUGCCAUAAGGAAGCAAGCGGUGGUUGACCGCUGGAGUACUCAACAUAUGUCGCACAAUAAUAUACCCGAGGUUAAUGGGACGGUCUGUAAGAAGGCUAUCCAGUAGGGCAACGUCCAACCUCGUAACCUCAUCCGAGUGACCCUUCCUAGGAGUCACUAUGUGCUGUAAAAUAGAGUGAAGAAUACGAACUUGGAGAGGUAAAAGUUGAGACCGAAACGGAAGCAUACAAAUCUCAUCCGAUAAGUCUCUACGACGACAUAUAUUACGGACGCCAUGAGUAUGAGAAAAAGUAUCAAAGGAGAGGGCUUUCCUAGAGGUGUAAAUGUCAAUCCCCUCACAAGAGAUACCUAGAAAGUCAGCUAAGUCCGCAUCAUCAAAUUCUAUGGGUACACGGCCGACUUGAGUGACUAUCCUAUUUGGGCGAGUAUCGGAGAUUUCCAUAUUAGAGUAAAAGACUCGUACUAAAUUUGGAAAGACCCGGUCAUCAAGGUCAAUGGCAGCCUCCCAAGGCUGAAGCAUAUCCCUAAUGCUUCUACCACAAACAACUAAGUUGCGGAAAUCAUCAAUAUCAACAAAAAAAGGAUCAAGUACCUUUCGACCAUCGAAGCGAUCCUCAAACUGCUUAGCCAAGGCAGGAGUGGGGAAGUGAAUCCUUGAAAAUUCAGAGACCUCCCGAGGUGGUAUGGGAUUCCUUGGAGGCACAGAUUUACGCCUGGGAUUUCUCUGAGAUGGUUCAGCCAUGGAAACUCGUAAUGGGACGAAAGUAAAUCGAUAAAAGGUUUAAGGAAGAGUAGAGGAUGUGAAUAGGAUGUUCAAUUUGGUUGAAGAAAUGUGGAAAUCGGAUUAAGAACGAAGAAACCCGACCCGCGACAGUUAGGGUUUAGAUUUGGGAUUUUUGAAUUUUGGGCUCGAUUUGAAGUUUUGAAUCGGUAGAAUUGUUCUAAAGGUGAUGAGAAAUGAUUUUGAGGGUUUGAUUUGGCACGGAAAGCAAGAAAAAUGAGGAUUUGAGGACAAGGAGACCUUCGGCUGCGCAACAAUGGAGGAAACGGUGAGAGGGUAACUGGAGAAGGAGAAAAACCUUUGAACAGUUUUAUACUUCACGAAAACGGUUAACCGUUUAUUUAAACGGUUAAAGGGUAACUCCCAGGGGCUGAAGAAACAGAAACGGUGUAAGCCUAAGCGCUUAACGGCUAAGAGGUAACUGUUAGAAGACUCUCUGUUAAAAAACGGUUCACCGAUUGUGGCAAACGGUGAAAGGGUAACUGGACAGACACACAAUCUCAUUUCUGGAAUUAAACGGUGAUCCGUUUACAGUAAACGGCUAACCGUUUAUUUUAUCUGUAAUUUCGCACAUUUGAUUUAAUUUUUGGCCAGCAAAUAAUAUAUUCCAAGAUCAUUUAAUCGAUCUGAAAAUAUUUUAUGAGCAAUUUUAAUGCAUGAUUCAUAAACAUGUUUUCAACCAAUCAAUACAUAUACUCAAGAGUUAUCAAUGCAAAUUCAUCAUUUGUCUACCAAGCUCAAGCAUUUCAUAAAUAGUAAUCAAUCAAUUCAGUACACUCAAUAGCAUGAAUAGAGAUGUUAAUGCAAAAAUUUCAUCAUCCCAAGUUCAUGCCGAAUUUUUUAAAAUUUUUCUUCGCAAAGCGGUUUUGUGAAAAUAUCGGCAAGUUGUUUUUCCGUGGAAAUAAACUCUAAUGCAAUAUCUCCAUUUUGAACAUGAUCUCUCAAGAAAUGAUGUCUUAUUUCUAUAUGCUUGGUUCGAGAGUGUUGAAUGGGAUUCUUUGAAAGAUUAAUAGCACUAGUAUUAUCACACUUAAUAGGAAUUUAUUCAAGAUUAAUGCCAUAAUCUCUAAGUGUUUGUUUCAUCCAAAGUGCUUGUGCACAACAACUUCCGGCAGCUAUAUAUUUAGCCUCGGUAGUUGAAAGUGCGACAGAAUUUUGUUUCUUGCUAAACCAUGAAACAAGAGAGUGUCCUAGAAUAUAGCAAGUUCCACUAGUGGUCUUCCUAUCCACUAUAUAACCAGCAAAAUCCGCAUCCAAAAAACAUGUUAAAUCUAUAUGAGUUCCCCUAGGAUACCAAAGGCCAAUAUCUAUGGUUCCACUCAAAUAACGGAAAAUUCUUUUAACAGCGAGCAAAUGAGAUUCCUUGGGACAUGACUGAAAUCUUGCACACAAAUAUACACUAAACAUGAUAUCGGGUCUACUUGCAGUCAAGUAAAGUAGAGAUCCGAUCAUACCUCGAUACAUUUUGAUAUCCACUUCUUUACCUUUUUCAUCUUUGUCUAGCUUGGUUGUUGUGCUCAUUGGUGUAUUCUUGGUCUUUGAAUCAUCAAUGCCGAAUCGUUUGAGUAGAUCAUUUACGUACUUGGCUUGAUUUAUAAAAAUUCCUUCCUCGUUUUGUUUGAUUUGAAGUCCAAGGAAGUAUUUCAACUCUCCCAUCAUACUCAUCUCAAAUUCCUUGCUCAUACAUGAUGAAAAUUCUCCACUCCUUGGGGAGUGUUUGAGAAGUACCUUCAUUUUGCUCCACAUUUGGUUCUUCAUGAUGUUCCUCUUGAAUUUCAUGUGGUGCAUCCUCUUGAUUGUCAUUUGAUGCUUCUUCUUCUUGUUCUUCUUCUCCUGCAUCAUCAUCAACAACGACUUUCUCCGUAGAGGAGGGGUUAGACUCAUCAAAUGUGACAUGCAUAGAUUCUUCCACAACUAAAGUUCUUUUGUUAUAGACUCUAUAAGCUUUGCUUGAAUUUGAAUAACCAAGAAAAAUACCAACAUCGGAUUUUGAAUCAGAUUUACCAAGAUUGUCUUUUGUGUUCAAAACAAAACAUUUGCAUCCAAAAACUUUAAAAUAGCCAAUGUUGGGUUUUCUAUCUUUCCAAAGUUCAUAUGGAGUUUUAUUAAGAUUAGGUCUAAUCAACACCCGAUUUAAAACAUAACAAGCGGUGUUGACGGCUUCGGCCCAAAAAUAUUUUGGUAAUGCAUUUUCAUUUAACAUGGUCCUAGCCAUUUCUUGAAUAGACCUAUUCUUUCUCUCAACAACUCCAUUUUGUUGUGGAGUUCUAGGUGAAGAAAAUUGAUGCUCAAUGCCUAGAUUAUUGCAAAAACUCUCAAAUGCAUGAUUUUCAAAUUCUCCUCCAUGAUCACUCCUAAUGCAUACAAUACCAUGCCCUUUUUCAUUUUGUAAUUUCUUACAAAUCACUUUAAAUGCAUCAAGAGCAUCAUCCUUAUUGGCUAAGAAUAAUACCCAUGUAUAUCUAGAAUAAUCAUCCACUAUCACAAAAGCAUAAUAUUUGCCAUUUAGACUUGCAUAUCUAGAUGGCCCAAAAAGAUCUAUGUGAAGAAGUUCAAGUGGUUUUGAAGUAGAAAUAUGGUUUUUAUUCUUGAAAGAAGUUUUAAUUUGUUUUCCAAAUUGACAAGCUUCACAAAUCUUAUCCUUUUGAAAGCCAAUUUUCGGAAGACCUUUAACUAAAUCAUCUUUCGAAAUUUUUGAAAUCAAAUCCAUACUUGCAUGUCCUAAACUUCUAUGCCAUAACCAACAAUCAUCAUGUAAUGCCGAAAAACAUUUAUCAAGAGUAGAUGCACAUCCUAUGUCAAUGAUAUAAACAUUACCACAUCUAUUUCCAACAAAUAAGGUUUUGCCAUCACAUGAGUUCUCAAUAACACAACUAAGUUUAUCAAAGAUAACUUUAUAACCUUUGUCACAUAAUUGACUAAUGCUAAUUAAGUUGUGUUUCAAGUUUUCAACCAAACAUACAUUCUCAAUUAGAGUUGAAGAGACUUUACCAACAUUUCCAAUUCCAAGAAUUUUUCCUUUUGAGUUGUCUCCAAAAGAUACGUCUCCACCAUUUUCAAUUUUGGUGAAGCUUGAGAACCAUGCAUAGUUUCCGGUCAUGUGCCUUGAACAACCGCUGUCCAAGUACCAUUUAUUUUUCUUCUUCUUCAAGCCCUCAUUGAGAUCACCAUCCCCUCCUAUUGCCAUGAGUGCUAGGUUUGAUACUUCUUGCGAUCCUUCUUCAUCAUUUGAUUCUUCCUCACUAUCAUCCCAAGUUGCAACCAUUGCUUUCUUCUUGAGUUGUUGAUAAGUGGGCACUCCGAUCUUAUAUGUCCAGGCUUCUUGCAUUCAUAGCAAGUGAUUGCCUCAUUUUUCUCCCUAUAGUUCUUGAAGUUUCUGAAAUUUCUUCGCUCUCCGGUUUUCUUGAAGAAUUUUCUGAACCUCCUUGCUAGCAUGGCUACCUCUUCAUCAUCCGGUUCACUCUCCCCAUCACUCUUAUAUUUUGAAGCUUUGAGAGCAAUGUUUUUCUUCUUCUCCUCAUGUCCUUUUUCUGCAGCUAAAUCCUCUUCAUACGAAAUAAGAGAACCAAUUAAAUCAUCAAGAGGUAAAGUAUUUAAAUAUUUGGCCUCUUCAAUAGCGGUUCUUUUAGGUCUCCAUUCUUUUGGAAGUGACCUAAUAAUUUUCUUAACUUUCUCACUAUUUGAGAAGGUUUUCCCUAAGGCCCCUAGGGUGUUCACUAUGUCCGUGAAUCUAGUGUACAUAGAAUACACAUUUUCAUUUUGUUCCAUUUGGAACAACUCAUAUUGACGAGUGUAUCUACUGAUUUUAGACUCUUUCACUUGAUUUGUCCCUUCAUAGACAACUUCAAGUUUGUUCCAUAUCUCUUGUGCACUUUCACAACUAGAUACUCUAUGGAAUUCUUUCUUAUCAAGGGCACAAAACAAAGCAUUCAUAGCCUUGGAGUUUAGAGACAUCUUUCUCUUUUCUAACUCACUCCAUUGACUCGAUGGUUUAGGAAUAUCAUCUCCUACUUCAUCUUUGAACGUAGGCAUGAAUGGACCAUCACAAACAACUUCCCAAAUUUCAUAAUCUAAGGCUUGCAAAUAGAUUCUCAUUCUAGUUUUCCAAUAAGCAUAGUCAUUACCAUCGAAAAAUGGUAGUCUAGUUGUGGAUUGCCCUUCUCUAAAGGUUGAGUCAUUUAGGGUUGCCAUGAAUCUUCUACUCUAGACGAUUAAGUCUUAACAAGAGAACGAGGCUCUGAUACCAAUUGAAAUACAAGUAUGCAACCCAAGAGGGGGGGUGAAUUGGGAUUAUAAAAAUUAUUCAAUUUAUUAAAGAAAAUCUUAAUGCAAUUAUAAAUCAAAUUCAAAGCAAUAACAAUUAAGAUGAUCACAAUAUAAAAAGAUAAGGGAAGAGGGAUUCAAACACCGAGAUUUUUUACGUGGUUCGGCCAACCUCGCCUACGUCCAUGCCUCCAAGCUUUCCGGGCUUGAGGAUUCCACUAAGCAAGCCUCCAAGGCUUCAAAUGCUUACAAUUGACUUCCAAGGUGUCAAUGGACCUUUACAACAAGAGAUUAUCCCCAAUCUCUUAACCCAAGUGUAUCCCAACACUUACAAUCACUCAAAAUAAAAGAUUACAAACUGUUUUGCCUCUCACAAUAUAUAAGAUUACACAAUGAUGCUUAAUAUGUGAAUAGAUGAAGCAAGAAUGUGUUCUAAGCUCUAUGAAGAUUGUAUUCUCGAAUAUUAGCUCAAAUGGUCGUGUUGUGAUCAGCCUUCUUUGAAUUUGAAUGAGCUUAUUUAUAUUUGGAGCCGAAAAUCUAGCCGUUACAAACUGUCGGACAGAAAACGGUUUGCCGUUAACCAUUAACGGUUAACCGUUUAGGCUGGUCAAAGUUACCGUUGGGCCAGAUUUCAAAUAAACGGUUUGCCGUUUAGGGUUGCCCUUUCGCCGUUAAAUUCCAGAGACCUGCAAAAUGAACAUCAGUUAAUCCGUUUUCAUUUAGCGGUUAAGGGAUUGCAUAAAGUGGCUUCUCUGGGUAUUAUCGGUUGACCGUUUAAAAACAAACGGUUUGCCGUUUGGCUCCAGUAACUUGCACAACAAUUUAGCCUUAUCAGUUUUCGUUAAUCAAUGCCAGAGGAGGACAACCUUCAAUUCUGGACGUUAUCGGUUAACCGUUUAAAAAUAAACGGUUCACCGUUAGUUUUCAGUAGCCUUCCCAUCAUGGGUGUUUUCCGUUAAGCAUAAACGGCUAGAGAUUAGGCAAAUAUGUUGCUCUCUGGUGAUAAUCGGUUAACCGUUUAAAAGCAAACGGUUUACCGUUAAUUUCCAGUAACCUCCCUAUCUAUUGUGUUUUCCAUUUUCCAUAAACGGUUAGAGGUUUAGGAAAUGUGCUACUCUCUGCCUUUAAUCCGUUAACCGUUUAAAAUAAACGGUUCACCGUUUAUGACUAGAAUUGCAAUUUUAAACAAGUUUUUGCAGAGAAUUUCUUUCUAAUUUGAAAAUUCAUCUUUUAUGAAGAAAUAAGGCAAUGAUUAAAAGGGCUUUCGUUUAUUAAGAAAUAGCUCCAAUAUUUUUGUCAAAAACCAUAUAAAAUUUGUUAUCAUCAAAAUCAAUAUUAUUAACAUAUUCAUGUUAACAAAGAAUUAAACAAUUGUGCAAAGUCAAGCUGUAUCUCUAAGAAACCUGGAAAACCAAAUUAGACAGCUUGCUACAGCAAUGAGUAGCAAAUCUCAGGGAAGUUUACCCAGCAAUACAGAAGAUCCAAGAAGAGAGGGUAAAGAACAUUGUAGGGUAAUCAACCUAAGAUCUAGAAAGAAUGUUGACAUUAUUGUUGAUGUGACUAAAAAGAGGUUGGAACUUAACUCCUCGUAAGAACCUCCUCAAAAUGAAAUGAUCAUACAGCAACCCAGCCAUCAAAAUACUGAUGCUAGUGGUCAAGCUACAGCAACCUUGGAAGGAAACCAACUGAUACCUGCUGAAGAAGAGGUUGCAACACCAGUGGUGACAACUUACAAUAAGUCAAAGGAGUAGAGAUUGGUACCUCCUGAAGCUGCCCAGCAAUUUAGGCAUCUACCUCCUUUCCCACAGAAAUUUCAGAAACAAAAACAAGAAAAGCAGUGUAGUAAAUUCCUGAAAGUGCUGAAGCAAUUACACAUCAACAUACCUUUUGUGGAAGCAUUAGAACAAAUGCCUAAUUAUGUGAAAUUUCUAAAAGAUAUUUUGGCAAGAAAAAGAAGGUUGAGAGAAUUUGAAAUUGUUGCUUUAACACAGGAAUUCAGCCACAUGCUUCAAAGCAAGAUUCCUAAAAAAUUGAAGGAUCCAAGAAGCUUCACAAUACCAGGUUCAAUUAGAACUAGGUACAAUGGCAGAGCACUCUGUGAUUUGGGAGCCAGCACUAAUCUGAUGCCAUUAUCUGUAUUUAAGUAAUUGGGAGUACGAGAAUGCAGGCUAACAACAGUCACUCUGCAAUUAGCUGACAUAUCUCAUGCAUACCCUGAAGGAAAGAUUGAGGAUGUACUGGUGAAGGUUGAUAAAUUCAUCUUUCCAGUGGACUUCAUUGUACUAGACUUUGAGGCUGACAAAGAGGUACCCAUUAUACUUGGAAGACAUUUCCUGGCAACCGGGAAGAGACUCUGAUAGAUGUGUAAAAAGAAGAGCUAACAAUGAAGGUGAAUGACCAACAAGUCACAUUCAAUGUAUUAGAGGCUAUGAAGAAUCCUGAUGAGGCAGAAGAUUGCAAUUUCCUAAGUGUUGUGGAUCUUGUUGUAGCAGAUAGAAUAAAUAGAUGCUGCAGUAAUGAGGUUAUCAAAGUUGCCACAAUUGAAAGCUUUGAAGAAGAAGAUGUUGCAGCAAAUCAGAUAGAUUAGAUGGGAGAAAGGCAAUCUAACAGACAUAGCAGAUAUGUUGAACCUAUAAAUCUUUCAGAUAGGGAAGUAAAGACAACUUUGCCAUCUAUUGAAUCACCUCCUACUCUUGAAUUAAAAUUGUUACCUUCACAUUUGAAAUAUGCUUAUCUUGGUCAGAACAACACACUCCCUGUAAUCAUUUCAUCUACUUUGGAUGCAGAAAAGGAGCCUGGUAGAUGUGCUUGGGAAAUAUAGAAAAGCAGUUAGAUUGACCAUGGCAGACAUUAAAGGGAUCAGCCCAUCCAUAUGCAUGCAUAAAAUUCUGUUAGAAGACUACUACAACAAUUCAGUAGAGCAACAGAGAAGGUUAAAUCCCAUUAUGAAGGAAGUUGUGAAGAAAGAAAUCAUCAAAUGGUUGGAUGUUGGGAUCAUAUACCCGAUAUCAGACAGUUCAUGGGUGAGCCCAGUUCAAUGUGUUCCAAAUAAGGGAGGAAUAACAGUGAUAGUAAAUGAAAAGAAUGAACUUAUUCCUACAAGAACAGUAACUGGAUGGAGGGUAUGUAUGGAUUACAGGAAGCUCAACAAAGCCACAAGGAAUGAUCACUUUUCACUUACAUUUAUAGAUCAAAUGUUGGACAGACUUGCUGGAAAACAAUAUUAUUGUUUCCUAAAUGGGUAUUCAGGCUACAACCAAAUUGCUAUAGCCCCAGAAGAUCAGGAAAAAACUACAUUUACAUGUCCUUAUGGAACUUUUGCCUUCAGAAGAAUGCCCUUUAGUUUGUGCAAUGCUCCAGCAACUUUCCAGAGAUGUAUGAUGUCUAUUUUUUCAGAUAUGGUGGAGAAAACAUUGGAAGUCUUCAUGGAUGAUUUCUCAGUAUUUGGAGAAACGUAUAUUGAUUGUUUACACAACUUGGAAGAAGUUCUUAAAAGAUGUUAGUGACUAACUUAGUACUCAAUUGGGAAAAAUGUCACUUCAUGGUGCAAAAAGGCAUAGUGUUGGGUCAUAAGGUGUCCAAGAGUGGAAUAGAGGUAGAUAAAGCAAAGAUAGAAGUGAUAGAUAAACUGCCACUUCCCACUUCAGUCAAAGGGAUUAGAAGUUUUUUGGGACAUGCUGGAUUUUACAGAAGAUUCAUAAAAGACUUUUCCAAAGUAGCCAAACCAUUAUGCUCAUUGCUAGAACAUGACAAGCCUUUUCAUUUUGAUAAAGAAUGUCUUUAAGCUUUUAGAGAGUUGAAGAAAGCCUUGAUCACUGCACCAGUGUUUAUAGCACCAGAUUGGACUCUACUGUUUGAGCUGAUGUGUGAUGUCAGUGACUAUUCUGUUGGGGCAGUGCUGGGGCAGAGGAAGAAUAAAGUUUUCCACUCCAUAUACUAUGCCAGUAAAACUCUUACUCAAGCUCAGAUCAAUUACACUACUACAGAGAAAGAGUUGCUAGUAGUAGUAUUUGCUUUCGAUAAGUUUAGAGCUUACUUGGUGGGUACUAAAGUGACAGUCUACACAGAUCAUGCAGCCAUCAAGCACCUAAUCUCAAAUAAUGAUGCUAAAAUAAGAUUAAUAAGAUGGAUCUUAUUGCUUCAGGAGUUUGAUUUGGAAAUUAAAGAUAGAAAGGGGAUUACAAAUCAAGUGGCGGAUUAUUUGUCCAGGCUAGAAGCAGAUGCAAGCACUUUGACAAAAAAAGACAUCACUGAAACAUUUCCUGAUGAACAACUACUAGUAAUACAACAGACACAGAUGCUGUAGCAACUAGGAUCUCCAUGGUAUGCGGAUUUUGCUAACUACUUAGUAAGUAGAUUGCUACCACCUGAGUUGAAUUUUCAGCAAAAAAAGAAAUUUCUUCAUGAUGUUAGAAGCUACCAGUGGAUGACCCACACUUGUAUAAGUUAUGCUCAGAUCAGGUAAUACGAAUAUGUGUUUCAGAAGAAGAAAUUUCUCAUAUACUGCAAUCUUGCCAUGCUGCAGCAUAUGGAGGACAUUUUAGUGGUCACAGAACAACUGCCAAAGUUCUACAAUCAGGUUAUUACUGGCCUUCUAUUUUUAAGGAUGCUUAUGAGUUUACUAAAUAUUGUGAUAGGUGUCAAAGAACAGGACAUAUAACUCAAAGACAUGAAAUGCCAUUGACGAACAUUCUGGAAGUGGAGAUUUUUUAUGUAUGGGGAAUAAACUUCAUAAGUCCUUUCCCACCAUCUUUUGGAAACUUAUAUAUCCUGGUUUCUGUGGAUUAUGUAUCUAAGUGGAUAGAAGCUGCAGCAGUACCUACUAACGAUACUAGAGCAGUAGUGAAAUUUCUUUAGAGAAGUAUUUUUUUCUAGGUUUGGCACUCCACGAGCAAUUAUUAGUGGUGAGAGAACUCAUUUCUGCAACAAAAGUAUUUGCUGCAGCUAUGGUAAAAUAUGGAGUCAAGCAUAAAAUAACAACAACAUAUCACCCACAAUCCAAUGACCAGGCAGAAGUGUCUAACAGGGAGAUUAAGAAGAUCUUAGAAAAAGUGGUUAACCCAUCAAGUAAUGAUUGGUCCUUGCGAUUACAUGACUCCCUAUGGGCUUCCAGAACAGCAUACAAGACACCAUUUGGCAUAUCUCCCUACCGAAUUGUGUAUGGGAAAGCUUGUCAUUUGCCACUUGAGCUAGAGCACAAAGCAUAUUGGGCAUUGAAGCAAGUAAAUUGGGAUAUACAUGCUGUAGUAAAGCAAAUGAAACUUCAACUAUGUGAGUUUGAUGAAUUAUGGUUAUUCUCAUAUGAAAAUGGAAGAAUCUAUAAAGAGGGGACAAAACACUGGCUUGACAAACAUAUCCAACAUAGGAAAUUAAUCCCUGGUCAACUAGUACUGCUCCAUAAUACGAGAUUAAGACUAUUUCCAGGAAAACUGAAAUCUAGAUGGUCUGGACCCUUCAAGCUGCUCAGAAUUUACCCUCAUGGGGCUGUCGAUCUCUUAGAUGAAAAGACAGGCCAUGAAUUCAAAGUUAAUGGGUACAGAGUUAAGCAUUACAUGCAUUCAGCUAUAGAUUGUUCAAAGAAGGUCUUACUCCUUAGAGAGUUAAUGGCAAAGAUUUGCGUACUGUAAAAUAAAAAUUUUAAGAACUAUUAAAAAAAGAUUAAAAAAUUAUUUUUUUUAUUUAAUUUUUUUUUAAUUUGAUUGCUAUUUAUAAAAUUGAUUGAUGAAUCAAUGUAUUCCUUUUUUGGGUCCUGCUAUUGUGCAACUGGUGUUUGGUAUCCCUAUUUUGUCAUUUAGUGAUUUAACCGUUAAAUCUAACCAAAGAGUUGCAUAACGGUACAGAUGGGUUUGCAUGGUUAUUAACAUUGUCAUCCCUGAUGUUUUCUAAGAAAAGGUAAAAGUUUCUAAAUGUUGACAUAUAUGUCCAAAUUGUUUUAAAUUUUUUUACAAUUAAAUCUAUUGACCUAGUUUGACUAUUAGCAUGAGUAUAGUGUAUGGACAAUAAUGUAAUCUCAAGUAAAAAAUUUAAAAUGCACGAAAAAUUAACAUGGAUUAAUAAAUAUUUUUUAACAUAAUAUUUAUUUAAUAUACAAUAAUUAUUUGAAUAUGUCAAUUAAAAAAGAAUACAUGAUAAAAAUAUAUUGAUUUAUUAACAAUAAUAAUAUAUAACCAUAACGAACAUGCAUAUGCCUAAAUUAAAUGUUUCCAAUAAUAUUAUUAAUCAUCAAAUUGCAUAAUUCCUAAGGUAUAUUUAAUUAAAUAUUUUUAUUUUAAUAUUAUUAUCUUCUUGUGUACGAUAACUGAAUUUCGUUUUUGUUCAUUCUUUAUUCCUAAUUAGCAAUUUAGCACCCACAAACUCUAUCCUCUAUUUUUGUUUCCUUCUUUUCAUAAACUCUAACCUAAUAAAAUAGUUUUAAUUAAAACUAUCAUAUUUUAUAAGUAGAUUUUUUUAUCGACAAAAUCCUACUAUUGAUUCUUUGGUCUAUGCAGUAGUGUGAUUUAAAACAGUUUUUAAUUUUUCAUAAAUGCUAUUGAAUAAAGAUUUAAAUUUUUAUUUUGUAUAAACUUACCAUUCAUGUUCUCUAAAGUUCUUGAAAUAAACCUUUUCUUGGGAUUUUUUAUUUGAAUUUAUACAAAUGACUAUUUUUAUGUUAAAUAAAAGAUAACAUAGGUAGAGAAUAAAUGGUUAUAAAUUAUAGAUGAUUAUUUUUUUUCCUGAAUAGUAAUUUAAUGAAUGGUUAUUUUUAUAAUAUUUUUAUGAUUUAAUUAUAGUAUGAGGUCAUUUGAACCUACCAAAUUACUUUCUACACCCAACUAGUCAAAAAACCUGUAGCCUAAAUUAAAAUUAGACAAUGUACACCUUUUAAUAACAAAAAUAACCCCAAUUUAAUUUAUUUUUUGAAUAAUAAAUUAUUCACCUCUGUUUUUUUAAUCAAAAUUGAUCUUUUAUGGACUAGAUAAGCUUACAAAGUAUGGACAAUAAAAAUGAACAAAAAAGUACUUUAAGCUCCUAAAAAUUCAACUCUUAAUUUGAUAGUGAUAAACAUUUAUUUAUCUCUUUAUUAUUCAUUUUUUUACUUGUAAUGGAAAAAGAAUUCUCUGCAAUUUUGUUAUCAAUUGCAAACUUACAACUCUCAAAUGGGGAUUACAACUCUCAAAUGGGGAUUGGUGCUAAAUAUUAAGUAAGGAUGCUCAAAUCUUGUUUUUGUGUUUUUUUUUUUUGUGCUAUUUGCCUUUGGUUUUAUGGUUAAUUGAUCAUUAUGCAAUUCUUCAUAUAUAUAUAUAUAUAUAAAUGUUUCAGUCCGAAACUUUAAAGUGUGGGAAAGUGCGGUAAAGCUUUAAAACUGUAUGGUUUUAAAGGCUUAAAACUGUAAGCCUUUAAAGCCGUGCGGUUUUAAAGUUUUCCCGGACUUUCCCGCACUUUAAAAUCUCUGACCAGAAAACUACUAUAUAUAUAUAUAUAUACUUCUAGUGUUUAUGCAAUUUUUAAAUAUUCAUCUGCUAAAGGAUUCCAUAAAAGCCCAAUUCAUGCCUCGUGAAAUAAAUGCUAAAACUUGCUUAAAUUAAAGGUCUCCAACAACAAAUGCGGAUGGUAAUUCAAUUUGAUUCCUUUGUUCCAUUAAUUUUUACACUAUUUUUCUUUUUUCUUGUUGAAUGAGUAUUAUUUUUUUACAAUGAAAUUACAUUUAGCUUAAAAUAAAAUUUGAAUUUAAAUUAGGAUAAGAUCAAAGAAAAGUAUAAUUAAUUAAGUAUAUAUCUUGUCCUUAAUAGUAAAUUAUUUCAUAGGCAUUUUUAUAAUUGAAAUUUUGAAUUAAAAAAUAGGUGCAAAAAGUAUUUUUAAGUCAAAUAGCCUAAUUUUAAUUCAAAGGAGCUACUACAUGUAUUUUUAUUAUUUUAAUAUCCAAAAUGCUUAAUUUAUGUUUUGUAAGGGUAAAAUUUUGUUAAUGGUCAACUCAACAGUAUAAGUAUUAAAAAUUGAAAUGAAUAGGACUUGAGUGUCAAAUUUUAGAAAUACUAUUUAGUUUCUUUAUUUUUUUUAACAAAACAUAGACUAUAGUGCAAUUAAACGAAAAAAAAAAGACAAAGCAAGGGGUUACUUACCCUAUUGGUAACGUAAUUUUGCCUAGUUUGAUAAUAAAAAAGAAAGUGAAAAAGAACUAUGCAAUCCAUGAAUUUGAUAAGAGGAAAGAAAGUAAAAAGAGUUGUACAAUAUAUUUUAGUACUAAGCUCUCAAACUUUGUUUGGGUCACAUGAGCUCUAUUCAAAAUGUAGCUUUUUCAGUUUAUUAUAAAUAAGUCUCAUUUCUUAGAUCUCACGGUUCAAAAAUAAUGUUAAAUGGAGAAAAUCGGACUGAUUAUGGGGGAAAGGUGAAAAAGAAUGAGAAAAUAAAAUUAUCGCUAUACUUGUAACUAAAUUAUAAAUAAAAAAUAAUGUAAGGGAUUCAAUCAAAAAAAGACAAAAGAGGGGUACGGUGUCACGGGGGUAUCGUAGCUUUGUCCAGUUAGGAGAAAAAAGUAUACAUCAAUAAUUGGUUGACUAAUAAUAUUGGAUUUUAUAUUGUUUAUCUAAUUAAAGGGGUUAACGCUAUAAUUGUUCUGUCAAAUCAGAUCUCGGAUUAUAUGCUUCUUUUAGCUUCAACAAUUAUCUACCAAGACUAUGACGUUCAUUACAAAAUGUGGACAUUAGUUCUAUAAAAUUCAAUGCACGGGGAUUGACGAAGAAAUUUAAUAAGGGUUAUGUAUGUUAAAUUAAUACUAACGUAAUGAAUGACUCGUUCCAUUAAAAAAAAAAAAUGAGUGACAUGUUGUAACAAACAACCUGUAUACAUAGAAUACAUAAUCGACAACACAGGUCAUAUAUCUCGAUCGAAUACUUAAUUUGUAUGUGAAACUGAGAUAGCAAUAAUUAAAAAACUCAUAUUGUUUUGUAAUAAAAUGCUUGUAUAGCUUAAUGAGUCUAAUAAAUACUUUUGUGCCAAUCAUGAAGAAUUAUACAUAAUUUACUAUUAUCAUGAUGUGGUGGUUUCAAAUGGUCACUUUUUGGCAAUUCGUUUUGGUAUUAAGUUAAAAGAUAAUGUUGAUGCUGUUGUCCGAAAGGUAAUGCAUUUCGUGUUUUCACAGAAAUUCUUUUGCUAAUUUCUUUGAAUUCAAAAUUUCCUUAAAAAAUUAACAUUUAUUGUAUUCCAUUAUGAAUCUACGAUGGCUGAACGGGUCGAAGGAUGUUGAUUGGGAGUAGCAAGGCUAAGCUACUCAGAACCAAACAAAGUGGUAUUGCGAGGUUUGGCGCUCAUUUUUUGCUUAUUUACGUAGCGAUGUCAUUGUUUCUUAAAUUUUUGGCCAUGUUUGGAUUGAAAUCGGACAAAAGUUAUAACAUCAAAGUGUUUUGGUAAACAUUAAUUACUAUAGUCUAGAAGCUAAAUUGAUUUAAUUUUACACUUAUAUGAUAAAAAUUAGUUAUAUCUUUACUAAUUUUUAAAAUUAUUAUUGAAAAAUUGUAUUUAUUAUAUAUAGUUACAUCUUUCUUUUUUCUUUUUUUUUUCUACAACAACUAUAAUUUAAGAGCUACCAAAUAGGGCCUCAUUUAAAAUGAUGAUAGAAAAACUAUUCGAAGUUUGUUUGCAAAUUUUAGUUCUCAUUUUUGUCACAUUUGUGGUGGCACUUUGACUACAGAAUCGAUACGUUAAAAAGCCAUUUUCUCGAAAAUUUUAUAGGAACUUAUCUUGUUAGAUUUUAAUUUGUAGAUGGUCCAAAUGUUCAGGUACACCAAUUAGUUUAAGUAGCUGAUUUUGGACAUAAUCAUGAAUAAGGGGCAACUAUCAGCCUAUCACAGGCUCCUCCAUUCAGAACAUCUGUUUGCCCUGUUAUUGUUAGAUCCUCACUCUUCUUUCAGAUGUUAAGCUUAGGCAGCAUUGAAUUUCUGUUCUACAUAGAAGAGAAAUUUAUUGUGCAUAUUAUAUAUUUAGAUGAGGUUCAAGAACUUCUUGCUCUUGCUGAUGGGGCUCAAGAAUCUGAAUUUCAAGUAACCAUUACUUGUAGUUUAUUGCUUUGCAAAUUGGAGCUGUAUUCAGGAUAAUGUUGCACUUGCUAAAGAUUCUAUUAUGUUUUUCAUCAUUUCGUUUACAUGAAAUGGAAAAUGGGGUCUUUCCUUUCACAUAAGUGAUUUUGAGGAUAUUUUUUUAUUCAAAUAGAGAACUUUUUUUUUUUUGCUUUUGUCUACUGUUCCUAACCAUAUACAAUUGGAUGUCCUCAGUCAUUCUAACUACCUAUUAUCUUAUACAUCUUUUUGUUGUUGGCUAUUUGUUCCAUUUUCUGCAAGAUAUUUUUAAUAUUUAUUUAAGAAUCUGUCACUUGUCCUGAGUUAUGUGAGACUCAAACAAUAAUGGGGGCAUGUCUUUAUUUUAUGGAAGACAUUUUAUUACCGUCUGGGCAAAGAAAAUGGGAUCAGUUGCAAAGAAAAAUUGCAACUGUAAUUGACACGGGGUUUUUAAUUAAAGAUGCCCUAAAAAUGGGGUAUUUAGUUAAAUAUAUCCCAUGGUUGAAAAUUAUCUACGUAUACCUUUUUAUGUGGUACAUUAUCUAAAAUACUCCUAAAGAAAAAUAUAAAACACACAACUCACCUUCAACACUCUUUACUUCUUACAAAAACUCACUCCACACUCUCAAAAUCACUCAUACACAACUAAUGCACUGAGAUUUGGGUUUGAGCUGGGUGCAUUAUUCAUCUCAUGAAUAAGGUAUUUGAAGCUUUAUUUUUAUUUUGUGUUAUUUAUUCAUUUUGUUGGCAUUAUAUUAUAUUUAGGGUUUUGUUUGGUUUGUAAUAAACAAUAAAGCAACUCACAUUUUCAUUACAUUUGCAUCAUAUGACUGUUAUUUGAUGGGUUUUAUAACUACAUUCGUUAAAACCUGAAUUUGUUGCUAAAAUUAUGUUCUGCACCCGACAUACACGAUUGUAGUCGUGUACAUAUGAAUUUACACGACUGUAGUCGUGAAAAUGUGUAAAAUAUUCCAAUUAUUAUGACACCCUAGCAUUUUAUUGGUGCAAAAUAUAUAUAUAUUUUCACUAGAUAUGUCCUCUGACUAUUACUAAACUAUAGUCGUGUGUUUUAAUAAGUUACACAACUACUAUCGUGUAUGUAUGAAUUUACAUACUACAGUUAUACAUAUAUGUAAAAUGUUUCAACCAUUAUGAGACCCUAACAUUCUAUUAGUGCAAGAAAAAUAUUUUUUUAAGAAGAAAUAUGUCCUCUGACUAUUUACUGGGCUGUAGUCAUCUAUUUUUGCAACUUACACGACUUUUGUCGUGUAUGUAUGAAUUUACACGAUAACAGUCGUGUAAAUAUGAAAAAUAUAGUAGCUGUUAUGACACCUAGGAUUCUGUUAGUGUAAAGAAUACAUUUUUUUCUAAAUAUAUCCUCUGACUAUUUACUAGACUAUAAUUGUGUAUUUUAGCAAGUUACGACUACUGUCGUGUAAACAAGCAAUUACAUGAUGGCAGUUGUGUAAAUGGACAAUGAUUCCACAUUUCGUUUUAUACCUUAUUUGAUUUUUUUUGUAUUUGUUGUAUAAUUAUGUGUUAUAUUAUGACAGGAAAGAAUAUCUCAAGUUAUUUCCGUUGAUAUUUCUAAAUUUGAUAUUGAAAUGAAGUUCAAGCUUAAGACAUUUGAUCCAAUCCCUCCCGUUUCAAUUAUGACAGAUGAUGAUGUAGAUUAUUUUCACGACGAAGCAAAAAAACUAAAUUUGCUUGGGUAUUUUAGCUAUGAUAAUUGAGUAGCAACUUGUAUUCCCUUAAUAACACGACUAUUAAUAACUAUGAUGAUUAUGUAACAACCUUUAUUCUAUUAAAACUUAUUUAUGAUUCGAACAUGUAUUGUACCUAUGUUGUUUGAGGUACAACAACUUUUGUCGUUUGUUGAAUUAAAGUUUGAUAUGUUAAAGCUUAUGUUGAUUGUUUUAUCAUUAUAAUAACUAUUUUAGGGGGUUUUUGUUCUAUGUCCAUGUACUCGACAAUAGUCAUGUAUUUUUAAAGUUACCCGACUAUUGUCUUGUAUAUCUAAUUGUACUUUACUACAACUUAUUAAAAGAUGAAUAAUUGGUAUUUCAGUGAUGGAUGAUGUACGUAUGUUGUUUUAAAGAUACUUGACUACAGUCGUGCAUCUAUGAAAUCCCGACUGUAGUCGUGUAUCUAUGAAAAUACUCGACUAUAGUCGUGUAGUUAUGAAAAUACCGACUGUAAUCGUGUAUUUAGGCUAAGCAUUCCUUGAAUUAUAUGAUCAUCCUGUUAUAUCAUAUAAAUUGUACAAAACUAUCUUGUUGUCUUUGAAUAUUGCACUUAAAAAAAAAUAAUUUAACACUACUAGUUGGAAAUACCCAACUAUAAUCUUGUGUCUAUGAAAAUAUCCAACUAUAGUCGUGUACCUAUGAAAAUACCUGACUGUAUUCAUAUAUUUUAGCUGCUCGUUCCUUCAAUAUAUAUGAACACGCUGUUAUAUAACAGACAUUGUACAAAACUAUUUUCUUUCUCAAUAAUAUACUUAACAAAAAAAAAUGAAUACUGAUGUAAAAUCAUCUUUAAUGAUAUCAAAUGUCAACAACAUCCCCAUUGCAACUAUUACAUCUUAUGAUGACUAAUCCAAAAAAUGGCAAAAUCACAACAAUGAAGUUUUUAGGUAUGACACUAUGUAGUUGGUUUCAACGACCUGUGUCCAAAUAAUUUGACAGCCAAUGCUUUUCGAAAUUGUGUAACAUCAUCCUGCUGACAAUAUGUGUUGAUGUCAAGGCCAUGGGAUAGGACCUCCAAGUACUACAACAAAAAUGCUUCACAAUCACCACUAAUAAAAUUCAUAUACAUCAAUAAUAAAAUCACCAUUCUUAUUGAAAAAAAAAACAAUAUAUAUGAUGUACUCAAUUGCAUACCCUGAUUUUAUUGUGGGAUAUUACGUACUCACAAGGAUGAUCUUUAUUUAUGUCUUCCACUGCAUCUAGUGAUAAUCGAUUAGAAAUCUUUGCUUUGAAGUAUUCAGAUUCCUUAAUUUUUAGUUCCAUCUGCAUAAACAUAAAUAUUUUAAUUAUAAUAUAAAAUGACUGAAAAGUUGCAUAAUAAUAUAUUUUAGACCAAUAAAAAAAAAUUCACGACACACCAGUCGAGUAAAGCAUUCAUUACACGACUAUAGUCGAGUAAAGCAUUCAUUACACGACUAUAGUCGAGUAAAAUAUUCAUUACACGACUAUAGUCGAGUAAAAUAUUCAUUACACGACUACAGCCGAGUAAAGUAUUCAUUACAUAAUUACAGCCGAGUAAAGCAUUCAUUACACGACUACAACAAGCAUCAAAUAUGUUUUGACUUCUAUAUCUCCUUGGAUUUAAAUCCUUUCAUGAUAAAACAUAAUGCUUACAACAUAAAACUAAAUAAAAGCUAAAUAUGUUUUGACUUCUAUAUCUCAUUGGAUUCUAAUCUCUGUACAGAAUUUUAAGUGAAUGACAGUAUGAAAAAGAAUUUACUUUAAUAUGGCUUGUCAACGAAUAGGGAGAAUGAAAAUUUUGUUUAUUAUAAAAAUAUAUUGACGAACCAUUAAAAAGCCAAAUGGACAUUUAGGCCUCGUUUGGGAUUGAGGUUGAAACUCAAUAAGCUGCUUAUUUUAUAAGUUUUGAUAAAAAUAGUGUUUGGUAAAUUUUGUAAAAGUAGCUUAUUUCAUAAUUUUCUCCAUUUUGUCUGCAACUUUUAAAAGCAGGUAGAGGGUUGCUUUUUAUAAGCAGCUUAUUCAAUAAACUACUACGCCUUUUUAAAAUACCUAUUAUAACCUUAGUAUUUUGAUAAAAAGACAAUUAUAUCAUACUUAUUCAUAAACCUUAAUAUAUAAAUCAUUAGAUAUUAUAUUACUGCCACAAUUUUAUUGCACAAAAUUUAUUGUGAAUGUAAUACAUAUUACUUUUUAUUUUAUUUAGAUUAUAUAAAAGUAUAAAUUUUUAUCAUAUUUUAUGUAAUAGAUUAUGAAGUUCUUCAUUUUUUUUUUAAUUGAGUUUUUUUUAAUUAAUUUUACACAUUUAAGAAAAAAGUAUGUCUGAACAAUUUAUUAAACAUAAAGUAAAAAAACAAUUAAAACGUAUGUCCAUUUUGGUCAUUAUAUAAUAUAACAACACUUUCGUAAUAAGAUUUACCAAACGCGUGUACUCUACUUUUCAAACUCACAGCAACCGCAACAACACAAUUUACCAAACACCAAGCUACUUUUUUAAUCAGUAGCUUAUUUCAUAUGCACAGCACAAGCAACUUAUUUUAUCAGCCUCCGCAAUCCCAAACUGGCCCUUAAUCAUUAACAUAUUAUUUGAAAUCCAUUCAAUAUGGGUAAGAAAUAACUAGAAUUGUAAAUUGAAAGUUCAUAGACUAGAAUUGUAAAUUGAAGGUUCAUAGCAUAUAAUAGAGAAAACCCAGAUUGCGACAUAAUGAAUGCAUACACAGCUGAAGAAAAUUAAUGUAUAAUUCCCAUGGAUGAAAGUCCAACUACAAACAACAAGUAAAACCAAACACCGAUCUAAUAGAUAAAUCAAUGUAGCCAUAACUGAGUAGUCACAAGGAUAAUAUUUCUUUUAUCCAAUUCCCUCUGAAUAUUUAAUUAGGAACUCCCAUAACAAUUCCCUCUGAAUAUUUAAUUUAGCUCCCUUGAAAUCACUCUCUUCAAUUUCAACUCCACAAGUUUAAGAAGCUUCAUUACAUGAAUCAUGAAUUCAUUACAUGAAUCAUGAAGAAACAUUAUCAGCAAGCAUGUAAGUGAAACAAAUAACUCGGCAAACUACAAUAAUGACCAAAAUCACGUGGGCAAUUUAUUUUUUAAAACCCUAAUGCAUAUAACCCCAACAAUUAUGAAUCCUAAACUCUUUUUAUGAAGUAAAAAUUAAGUGUAAAUGUGGUAAAUAUCCUUUAAUUCGGUGAAUUUCCAGCCUUAGUUUCGUGAAUUUCCAAUGAAAGCAGCGGAUUUGUGGUGUUAGAACCAGAAGCAGAAGAAGCACGAAGUUGCAGCAGAAGAAGCACGAACUUACAGCAGCAUAAGCAUCUUGGGCAUUGUAAUAUCUGUGAUUUUGAAAUAUUAGAUUUUGAAUUAGGGUAAUUCUGUAAUUACAUAUUGAAAAAAGCAUAUAUGAGAAAUUUUAAAUUAUGAGGAUGUAUUUAAGUAAACACCCCACUUUUGGGGUAUGGCGUGGAUAAGUCCCUGAAUUGACGCAGCUUCAGCAACGCCCUUCUGGAGUAAAGGUCCGUUCUUUCUUAUUUUUCAUUUCAUCAGUUUUAUAAUUUAAUUUUCUGCUCUGAUUGUCUUCAGAUUUUUGUGUUUCACAGGAGCAUUAGCUUUUAACAUCUUCCAAUUAGUGAUGGGUGCUUGCAAUUCGCUUUCUUAUUAGUACUCUGAGUUUGUUUAGCGUUCUCUUUCUAUUGGUUUGUUAGUGUUCUCUAUGAUGGGAAAUUGGGGAAUUAUGUUAGUUUGGUGAAUGCUUUAUAUUAAGAAUUCAGCCCAUCGUUGCCAAAAUUUAUGUACUUUAAAGCUUGAACUUACCCUCCGUUUGUUUUCAAACUUGUUCAUUUAUCUGCUCUGUACUAAACGCAUGAUUUCUCUUUGUGCUGUGUAUUUGGUGCUGGUAAUUUUUGUUGACAUUUAACACUGCCACUAUGUGCUUGGUCAGAGGCUUGCUUCCUACAAAAUAUUUUGUAAAGGGCGACCUACAUGGUGGGAUCAGUAAUCAGACAAGUCUAUUUUCAACUGCAUGCACCUGCGAUUAAAAUGCUAAUUCAUCUGAAGAGGAGGUUUCUUUGUACAGUCUGGUGGAUACACCCACCAGUUUCAUGCUUUCAUGAGGCUGUGAUGAAGGACAUAGUUUUUUAGAUGCUAAUCAUACUCCAAAUAAUCUAGCUUCAUGGAAGGGAAGGGUAGAUGACGAUUUGUUUCAAACUCUUAACAACCCUCUGACUCAACUUGAUCAUCAUAUGUUGAGUGGGCAAUUGCUUGGUUUUGUUAACAACUGCCAAACAUCUGACUAUGGAAAUGUGUGACUUCAAAAUCUCGUUUCCGCUAGAUUUUGAUCAUGAAGCAUGGAACCACCUUCAGUGGAUUACUUGUUUGAUUUUUUGGGUUUGGAUUUAAGAAUAAGCUCCUCAACACAAACUGGAAUAAUUUGCUUGCUGAUGGAUAACAUAUGGGUGAAAGUAGUUCAAUGUCUAUGAAUGCUCCUGAUGUGAGUGCAGGUUUCCAUGGACUUCCUUCUCUGGAUAUACCAUGCAUUUUUAAUUAGAAGCUAUGAUCUUUAGGGCUAAUACUGUCUCGAAGCAGAAUUCAGAUGAUAAUGUCUCUUGCAGGACAAUGUUGACACAUAUCAGUUGCUCUUUUAUUCCGACUAUUUCUCCCUCGACUAGCAAGAAACUUAGUGCAUGUUAAGCUAUUUGGCCUUACUAAGUCCUUGGCAAAGGCAGGGGCUACGGUAUCCAAUUCUUUUCUGUCAGGCUAUAGCAAGAAUGAUGGAGAAACUUCACACGCUAUGGAGUCAGAGUCUAUACAAAUGUUAUCAAAAUGCAGCAAGGUCUAUGGUUUUUUCUUUUAAAUUUUUAUAAUAUUCAAACUUUCAUCUAGCAGGCAUGGACUAGGUAAAUCCCCUACAAAUCUUAUUCAUCAAAGCUGUUAUUUAGGAAUAUACUAACUGCAGUACGAACAGGAUUGAAUUUCGCACAACAAAGCAAGAGAACUUAAAAUGAUUGGGUUCAGUCAAUUUCGUCUUUUGGAGAACAGACGGAUGUAACAUUGGUAAAUGCCUUGGAUAACAACAAUCUAGUAGUUCAUCAGUAAUUCUUUUCCCCAAGCCACCUUUGUAGCAGCAACUGGUAGGCCCAGUUGUCCACCUGCUAUUAUUAUACUUUUCAGGGCUGGAUACGUUAAGAGCAAUCUCGGGCUGCAUUGAUUGCCAUAACUGACAUGGUUCUAGUCAACACCCAGGUGGUUCUAACUAACAAGUUCAUCUCCCCCAACCCAAAUUAUGACCAACCUCACUUUUUUUUUUGGAGAGAAAAUUCCAUUUAGGUAGUUGUGUGAGCUCCUUAAGAACGUUCAAAUAUAUGUUUCUUGCAAAGAUGUACAUCUGAAUGGUGUCUAAUGCUUUCUUAAAUUAUUUAGCUGUGGAAGAUGAUUAUCAAAGACGUUAUUGCAAGUGCUAAGUUAACUGGCAGAGGGGGGCAUAAUAGUGGGUUUUGUGGUUCAAUAAUGUAUAGAGCGUCUAGGAUACGAAAUUAAGACAUUUAAGGUGUUUUGUUUUCUUAAUUGGUAUUUUCUUGCAUUUUAGUUCUAUUGCAUUACUACAGCAAUCAUGUUUUUCUUUAUCUCGUAUUUCAUUUUUUUUUUUUUUUUGGUUAUGCUUCAUAAGAAUUUUUGUUAAGCUUACCAACGUGUACCAUCUAAUGGUUAAGAUAAGAACAUUAUCAUGCUAUUUAGGACGUACAAUAAAAAUUUUGAAGACAUUGUAACAACUUGAAAUUCUUUUGAAGAGAAGCUUUGCUUCUUGUAAUGGAGCACCUCGUCAUCCAAUUGACAGUGUGUUGAUGGGCUUUAAUUGAACUGAGAAGAGAAAUUGAGGGUGCAAGUUUGAAAACAGGCAACGGUUUUGGAGAGACAUAUCACAAACACUGUUGGGUUAUUAAACCUCAAGCCGUGUGAGGUGAGGAAAGAUUUUAUUCAUAAAAUGAAAAAGAUACAUCUAGUCAACAGGACUUAAAAGCAUUACCCCUUGUGAUAUCGUAAAAACUAGAAAACGAUUUCAAAGGACCAGACCAAUUACGUGGAAAAAUAAGCUAUUCACAAGCCUGACUAAAUCUUCAAUUGACUAGAUCUUCAACAAUUGAGACACUUUCUGCAUCGUUGGUCUAGAUUUAGGACUCUCAUCUAAGCAUGAAAUGGCGACUUCCACGAUUGUUAUCAAUUUUUCUUGAACAUUGCGUGAUGGAGUUGGAAGCCGAGGGUCCAACAUUUCAUCUAGUGCUCUGUUCAAGUUCAAAGAAGAAGAGGAAAUUGAGGAAAUAAAAUCUCCUGGAUGCUUCCCCUUUAUCACUUCCAAUGCCAGCACUCCAAAGCUGUACACGUCGCACUUUUCAGUAACUUUCAUUGUGUAUGCGAGCUCUAAAAGAAAAAAACAAAAAGAAUAAUUGUUAUAUUUUUAUUAUUUUUACAUGAAAUCUAGUAAGCUAAUAUUAAUUAGUAUACUGAACAAGCUUCAAUAAUAAUUUACAUACCUGGUGCAACAUAUCCAUGUGUGCCUGCAAGUUCUGUCCAAUUGGAUGAGUCUGGCUUGAGAAACUUGGCAAUUCCAAAAUCCGAAACAUGGGCUUCAUUCUCAAAAUCUAACAGCACAUUUUUGCUUGAUAGAUCUCGAUGAACAAUUUGUGGGAAACAAUCAUUAUGCAUGUAAGACAAUGCAUCAGCUAUACCUUUUAUCACAUUCAUUCUCUGUGUCCAUUCCAAAUCCUUUGCUGCUGCGUCAUUGCUUAGGAUCACGGCCAAGCUACCCAUUUCAAGAUAUUCAUAAACUAUAAAUGAGUGCCGAGCAUGUGAACAAAAGCCAUAAAACUUCACAAUAUUACGAUGUCGUAUCUCAGUCAAAGCCUUGACUUCAUUCAAGAAUUCUUGCUGAAAUGUCAUCUCACCUGGGAGUGGCGAAUGAAAUUUCUUGACUGCAACGAUUUCUCCAGAAGCUAGCUUAGCUUUGUAAACACUUCCUUGUCCACCCUUUCCAAUGCAGUGCUCAUCAUCAAAGUCAUUUGUUGCUCUAAUAAUUUCUUCAUACACGAUUUUUCCUUCAAAAGUUAACACUGAAAGAAAACUCGGAGUACUUCUAGGGCUACUCUGUUGUGAUUGUGAGUUAUUCUUCCUUCGUUGAAACUUAAAGAACAGUCCACUUAAAGAAAUUAAAAGAGCAACAAUCCCUAAGAGAGGGAACAACACAACAAUCCAGAUCUUUCUCGAAGCUUGUUUGUUUGACUUUAAUGCUUUACAAGAUGGAAGUCCUUUGAAGUCUCCGCAUAAUCCUUUGUUCCCUUCUAAUGCUUCUAUUGGAGCAUCUCUGAAUGCUGUGCUAUUAGGAAUUGGACCUCGUAACUCAUUGUAGGAUAUGUCAAUGCGUUCCAGGCCAUGCAUUUCUUCAAAGCAUCUUGGAAUGAAACUAGAGAGGCUAUUGUGGGAGAGAUUCAGUUUCUCCAAGCUUUGCAUAAUGCAAAUUUGAGAUGGUAUUGCUCUUUCAAGAAAGUUAAGACUCAAAUCUAAUUCUGAAAGAUGAAUUAACUCCCCCAAUGUAAUUGGAAUUUCCCAACUGAACUGAUUAUUGCUCAAAUUUAAGUAAUGCAAUUUGACCAAGUUGCCUAGACUUUCUGGGAUUGUAUUGCUUAAUCUAUUUGAAGACAAGUCAAGGUGCUCUAGUUGAACGAGUAACCCGAGUUUUGGAGAUAGCUGUCCAGAGAGCUGAUUUUGUGCCAAAAUGAGCUUGAUCAAAAAACUAAGCUUGCCAAGUUCUGUUGGAAUCUCACCAACAAUAUGAUUUGAUGAAAGAUCAAGAACUUCUAAUUGAGAUGAGUAUCCAAUUUCAGGAGGUAUAUUGCCAGUAAUAUUAUUUAUAGAAAAAUCUAUAGUGCCUAACUUUGGGCAUCUUCCCCAGUGAGACGAGAUUUCACCAUAAAAGUAAUUGUGGCUGAGAUCUAUGAAAGUUAAGUUUGGAUAAAUACUGAAACAUUCAGAUAUAUUUCCAGUGAGAUGGUUUUCAUUGAGACGUACUCUUACAAGGCUUGUCAAAUUUUGCAAAUUGGGAAUUGGACCUUGAAAUUGGUUAUUACUUAAAAGUAGCUUAGUCAACUUCACAAGGUUUCGAUAUUCUUCGGGGAUGGCACCAGAAAGUGAAUUCUUAUAUAAACUCAAGUAAGCCAAGUUGGUCAAGUUACUCAAAGAAAUAGGGAUUGAGCCACUAAGUUCAUUGAACCCUGAAUCUAGAAUGGAAAGAUACUUCAAGUUUCCUAAUUCACUUGGAAUUGAGCCAGAAAGUGAAUUUUUAUAAAUAUAUAACGUAGCUAAGUUGCUCAAAUUACCCAAAGAUUGAGGGAUUGAGCCACUGAGUUUAUUACCGCUCAACGAUAGAUCGGAAAGAGACUUCAGGUUUCCUAAUUCACUUGGAAUUGAGCCAGAAAGUGAAUUGUUAUAAAUAUACAAGGUAACCAAGUUGGUUAAGUUUCCCAAAGAAUGAGGAAUCGAGCCACUGAGUUUAUUAUUGUCUAAUCGUAGAGCGGAAAGAGACUUCAGGUUUCCUAAUUCACUUGGAAUUGAGCCAGAAAGUGAAUUGUUAAGAAUAUACAAGGUAACCAAGUUGGUUAAGUUACCUAAAGAAUGAGGGAUCGAGCCACUGAGUUUAUUGCUGUACAAUUCUAGAACGGAAAGAGACUUCAGGUUUCCUAAUUCACUUGGAAUUGAGCCAGAAAGUGAAUUGUUAUGAAUAUACAAGGUAACCAAGUUGGUUAAGUUACCCAAAGAAUGAGGGAUCAAGCCACUGAGUUUAUUGUUGUACAAUUCUAGAACGGAAAGAGACUUCAGGUUUCCUAAUUCACUUGGAAUUGAGCCAGAAAGUGAAUUGUUAUGAAUAUAUAACGUAGCUAAGUUGCUCAAAUUGUCCAAAGAUUGAGGGAUUGAGCCACUGAGUUCAUUACUGCUCAACGCUAGAUUAGAAAGAGACUUCAGGUUUCCUAUUUCACUUGGAAUUAAGCCAGAAAGUGAAUUAUUGUAAAUAUAUAAUAUAGCUAAGUUGCUCAAAUUGCCCAAAGAUUGAGGGAUUGAGCCACUAAGUUUAUUACUGCUCAACGCUAGAUUGGAAAGAGACUUCAAGUUUCCUAAUUCACUUGGAAUUGAGCCAGAAAGUGAAUUGUUAUAAAUAUACAAGGUAACCAAGUUGGUUAAGUUUCCCAAAGAAUGAGGAAUUGAGCCACUUAGCUGAUUCUCGAACAAGUGAAGGGUCUUGAGAUAACUUAGGUGGCCAAUUUGUGGUGGUAUGGCACCAGAAAAUAAAUUGGAUGAUAAACCAAGAUACUUGAGUUUUGAAAUGUUACCAAUUUGAGGCGGGAUGUUUCCAAAGAGUUGAUUGC